AUGCAGAUUAUACACAACAGUAUAAAUUGGCAUGGAGUCCAGGAGUUUCGAUAUAACAAUAUAUCCUCAAAGCUAAUGAUAAUUAUAAUGUCAUCCAAAUUGUUCCUUCUAUUUGAAAAUAUAGCUCUGUUUUCUGUGUUGUUUUUUCAAUUGAAGCCCACAAUUGCUGAUUCUAACAAAAAAACGAUAAAGUGCAUUGAUGAGGAGAGAGAAGCGCUUCGCACUUUUAAACAGAGCUUGGUGGAUGAACAUGGCGUUCUGUCUUCCUGGGGAAGACAAGAUGACAAAAUUGACUGCUGUAAAUGGAGAGGAGUCCGCUGUAGCAACACAACAGGCCAUAUCAAGGUGCUUAAUCUUCGAACAUCCGACAAGGAAAACGCUCAGAGGAAGGUCUUGAAAGGUACAAUUAGUCCUGCUUUGCUUGAAUUGCAUGAUAUAAGACAUUUGGACCUUAGUAACAAUCACUUCAGUGCAAGCCCAGUUCCUAAGUUCCUUGGUUCGCUCAGCAAAUUGAGGUACCUCAAUCUCUCUUGUGGCACACCUUCAGAAUUCCCUCGUAAAUUGCGGGACCUUUCAGGAUUGGAAUAUCUCAACCUAGAAAACUCUAGUUUAUUUAGUGUGGGAAGCUUAGAGUGGCUUUCUCGUCUUUAUUCUUUAAGACACCUUGACCUGAGUUACAUUAAUCUCACUAAAUCUAGUGAUUGGUUUCAAGUAGUUGCCAAGCUCCAUUCCCUAAAAACAUUAGUCCUACGCUCGUGUGCUCUUCCACCUAUCAAUCCAUCGUUUAUUUGGCACUUCAAUUUGAGUACGUCUAUUGAGAACCUUGAUCUUUCUGACAACAAUCUCCCUUCUUCUUCAGUAUACCCUUGGCUUUUCAAUCUUAGUAGGAAUAUUCUUUAUCUUGACCUUGGCUCUAAUUCAUUACGAGGUUCAAUUCCAGAGGCUUUUCAACACAUGGUUUCUCUUAAAAGUCUUGAUCUCUCUGAUAGUGAACUUGAAGGUGGGAUUCCAAAAUUCUUUGGAAACAUGUGUAGCUUACAAAAGUUAGACUUGCCUCAAAACAAACUCAGUGGACAAUUCUCGCAGGUAAUUCAACAUCUGUCUGGUGGAUGCGUGGUGAAUUCACUAGAGCGGCUAUAUUUAAGUUAUAAUGACUUCACGGGGCCAGUACCUCAUCUUGGAGGAUUUUCAUCACUGGAAGCACUGAUGCUUGGCGUUAAUCGUUUAAAUGGAACAAUAGACAAAAGCCUCAGCCAGUUGUCGAAGCUCGAGUCUCUGUCACUACGUAUGAAUUCUUUCACAGGUGUUAUCUCUGAAACUUUUUUUUCCAAUAUGUCCAACUUGCAGAUGUUUGACUUGAAAGAGAACUCUUUGACUUUGAAAUUGAGCCAUGAUUGGGUUCCUCCUUUUCAACUGAAAUGGUUAAGUCUUGCCUCUUGCAAGAUGGGACCUCAUUUUCCAAAAUGGCUUCAAACUCAGAAUCAGCUUGUACUUCUUGACAUCUCCAAUGUUGGAAUCUCAGACAGUAUUCCUGAUUGGUUCUGGGAUUUGUCCAGUGAACUCUCUUACUUAAAUCUCUCUAACAAUCAUAUCAAGGGUAAACUUCCUGAUUUGUCUUUAAGGUUUGAUGGUACUCGUAGUGGUGGUACUAGUAUAGACAUCAAUUCAAACCACUUUGAGGGCCCAAUUCCACCACUUCCUUCAAAUUCGCUGUUCUUAAAUCUCUCUAAAAAUAAGUUCUCAGGAUCAGUUUCUUUCUUAUGUUCUAUUAGUGAAAACACUUGGAACUUUUUAGAUCUCUCGAGUAACUUAUUGUCUGGAGGGCUUCCCGAUUGUUGGUUGCACUUUGAUAGCCUAUUCGUUCUUAACUUGGCAAAUAAUAGAUUCUCAGGACAAAUACCGGAUUCGAUGGGUUUCCUAAAUAACAUUCGGACACUGAAUUUACACAACAAUAGGUUAGCCGGGGAAUUGCCUUCAUCUUUAAGGAAUUGCUCCCAACUGAGAGUUUUGGAUCUCGGGAAGAACGCAUUUUUUGGUGAGAUACCAACGUGGAUAGGGGAAAGUCUACAAAAUUUGAUUGUUCUUAGCCUAAAAUCUAAUAACUUUCAUGGAAAUAUAGCUUAUCAAUUGUGCCAUCUGGGAUUUAUUCAAAUCUUGGAUCUUUCUUUAAACAUUAUAUCGGGAAAUAUACCAAAGUGUUUCAAUAAUUUUUCAGCCAUGACCUAUGAAAGAUGUUCCAAUCCUACCAUUGGGUUCGCCAAAUCUUUCUUAGUUCUCCCUGGAAUUGGAUAUUACUAUAAAUAUUUGGUCAAUUUACUGUUGACUUGGAAAGGAAGUGAAAAUGAGUACAAAAGUACUUUGGGACUUGUAAGGUGCCUUGACCUUUCGAGUAACAAAUUAGAUGGAGCAAUUCCUGAAGAGAUUAUGGAUCUUGUGGGGUUGAUUGCCUUAAACCUUUCAAGAAACAAUUUAACCGGACCAAUCACUCCGAAGAUUGGUGAGUUAACAUCAUUGGAUUUCCUGGAUUUGUCUAGAAAUCUGUUUUCUGGAAGUAUUCCAUCUAGCCUCUCUCAGUUAAGUGGUCUUGGCGUCUUGGACUUGUCGUACAACAACUUGUCAGGAAAAAUCCCAUUAGGCACUCAGCUCCAGAGCUUCAAUGCUUCAGUGUACGCUGGAAAUCUUGAACUUUGUGGCCUUCCACUUGCAAAUAUGUGUCCGGAUGAAGAAUCAACUCCAAGUCCAGGCACAGACGAUGAUUCAGACACUCUAGAAGAUGAGGACGAUCAGUUUCUAACUCUCGAAUUUUACGUGAGCUCGAUUCUUGGUUUCUUUGUUGGAUUCUGGGGAGUCUGCGGAACUUUAAUGCUGAAUAGGUCGUGGAGACAUGGUUACUUCAACUUCCUGACUGGUAUGAAAGAUUGGGUCUAUGUGACAGCAGCUGUGAAUAUUGCCAAACUGCAAAGAAAGUUUAAGAACUAACUAAACGGUAAUACUCCUUAACAUUGGGUUUCAGUCAUUGUUGUCAGCUCACGUGCUUUUAAUUUCUUCAUCCUUAAAUUUUACUUUUUCUCUUAGCUUUUGUUCUGCCAACUAAUUGUUCAUCUUCCUUUUUUUUUUUUUUCAUUCACCAUCUUUUUGGCAGGGUAUCUCUGGGAUGACAUCUUGCCAUUAUUAUUCAGAGUGGUCAUUUGAUAUUUGGAAUCUUUCUGAAAAUUAACUCAUAUGAUGCACAUUGUAUUAUUGAGUAUAUGCUUAAAGAAACUUGUAUGUGGUUCUCCUUAGACCAUCGUCGAUCUAUGCGUUUAUAUACUCUGGUUAGAGUUCAAUUAUGCUAUUAAUCCAUUACAGCAAUAAAGGCAGUCAAAUUCUGCUCUGCUAUUGAUCAAUGUUUGCUCUUUUUUCCUUUUCAUUGGGUGAAUAAAUAAUAAAAGACAAAUCGAAUCUUUCUAUUUAAAGAGUUGUUGACUAAUAAAACUACUAAAUGGAUGAUAAAAUUAAUUAAUUAAUUAAUUAAACUAGAAUAAUCUUAUUGACAAAGUAGGUGGUAGGUUCGUACGAUUCCGGAUCAUUGGUACUAAAAUGUGAAGGAAGAGAUCGAACUUUACAAGAAUUUGUUCUUACUGUAUUCGAACUGGUAAUUGAUUAAAUUUGAUUAAAUUUCUAUGAUGGUGACAUAUAAUGACUUAAAUAUUAUUUUCAGAGAAUAUCACACACGACUUUUCUAUCCUAAUUUUUAUCAAUUUUCCGAACGUAUCAUCACAUACCAUCACGUUCAAGACCCGGCCAACUCUAUAACUAAGGUGUUACUAACGCACAUUAAUAUUACAUCGCAUUUUCACUGCCAUGGCCAAUUUCAGCGUUUCUCAUCAUUACUCUCUAUUUUGGCAAGUAUGGUAGGAAUCUUUAAAACAACGUACAAGAAUCAAGGGGAAGAAAUAAGAAACUGUAAAGAAACAUAAGUGGGAUAUAUAGUUUGUGAGAGCAUUCAAUUCAGUUCGUGGGGGCAUAAGCUUAAAUAAUUGAUGCAAUUUUAAGAGGUUUUUUUCCCCCCCUUGUACAAGGCUAGCUCUGUGUGUGACACUAUGAGCACACAACAGUGGUGAAUAAUAUUGCCAAAUUGCAACAAAGCUGUAGGGGCUAAAAGUUAAGUGUUUGAAUAUAUAAUAUUACCAAAUUGUUAAUGCUUAUAGGCUAUGUUUGGGAGCUAGGAUUAAUUGUAGGAUUGGACUAAUUAUUGGGACGAAAUAUUAAUACCAUGUUUGGCAUGCUUACUGGGAUUGGACUAAUGGAAUAAAUUCAAAUUUUAAUCCUAAAUUCAUGGGAUCAAUAAUCAUAAUUUUUAUGUGGGUUUAGUUGGGACUAGAUACUGUCAAGAAAAAUAUUUGUCCAUUUAUAAUAUCUUCCAUAAUUUAUUACACCAUUUUAUUUAUAACUUAAAAAUUAUUUAUUUAUGUUUUUAAUUAAGUAAUUUAUUUUUAUUCAUGAUUUACUCAAAAGUUAUUAAUUAAUUUAUUAUUUGAAUAAUUUUAUUUAUUUUAUUUAAUUAAAUGAUAUAUCUCAUUUGAAAUAACUAAAUUUAAAUAAUUUAUACUUCUUUAUUUGUGUGUGUGUAUAUAUUUCUUUUAAGCUUGUUAGUCUUCUGAACUUGUAAUUGGAGAAUUUUGAAACUUUCGCUACAUUUAUGAUUUGAGAGAGAAAUGUCAAGUGUUCAAUUUGUGGAUUUAUUUAAUAAAAUUUGAGAUAUUUCAGUUUGAAAUUUUGUAUAAGGAUUUCGAUAUGUAAACAACCUCCUACUACCACGUGCUCCACACGUGAUAAAUUUGGAGUGUUACAGUUGUUAUGCUUUACAUAUCCAAAUUGAUUAAGUUGAAAAUUAGGGUAAGAUGAUUAAGUUCUAGGGUUUUACUCAAGAGAAUUCAAGAGAGAAAAGAUGAGGAAUUUAAGAAUUCAGAGGAGAGAGAGAAGAAUUAAUAAGGGUUGGAAUUAAUUUUAUUAUUGCUUGCUUAAAAAAAUAAUGAGAAUCACUUAUUUAUAGUAGCUCAACACACUCCUAAUUCUAAUCUAAUUAGAAUCUUAAACUAUAAUUGCAACAAAAAAACCUAAUCCUAAUAGGAAAGAAGUUAAAAUAAACUACUACGGUUAUGUAGAGAUUUGAUUGAAUUGCUAAUCUUAUAAAACCAAAACUCUGCCCAUGAUCUUUGACUAGGACCAACAUAAGUUGCACACAAGCAAUAAAAUUGAACCAGAAUCUAUUCAAUAUCCUCUCCAGUCUCAAAAGACAUAACCACUCAAUAACAUAAAUUAAACAGCAUAAAAGAAUGAAUCAGAAACAAAAUCAGAGAGAGAGCAAGACAUAACGUGGUUCAAUCUUUUUUUGAGUCCGCACUCUGUUAUGAGUAAAACGCAAGCUUUCAUGUCGUUUUACAUUAAGUAAUCACGAGCUCCCUCACGUGACUUCAUAACGGAAUUAACCGAUAGCCAAUACGCUGCCGUUUGCUCUGGUUUAUAUUUGAAUUCAUUAACUCUACAGGUUCUAAUAGAUUCUAAUAUGAUUUUGUUUCAAAAUCAAGAUUGAAGAUCAUCCACGGCAGUAGGAGAUUUAAGUUGGAUGACUUAUGGUGUUGACAGUCUUUUUUUUCUUUUAUUUCCAGAAUUUAUUUCCUCCUUUGCAAGUUGUGUUCUCUCAAGACUCACAGCUCUGCCAAAUUCUGGCGUGAAGGCUUAUCACCUUCCUCUUUAAUGCAGGUUUGCAGCCCACAUCAGUCGCCAGUUGGAGUCAAAUGAAAAAUUUAGGGUCGUGUAAUUAGUCUUGUGGUGAUUUAAUAAGAAUGCAGUGAAGAAUUAAGAGAUAUUCAAGUGCCUGCAAUUGUGUUGGUUUCCCAUCUCUGCAAUUGUGCCAGAGGGAUAGUCCAAAUUCUUGUUGCGUUCUCUCAACUCUCAAUUCUCAUGAUAUUAGUUAUAGCUUCGUAAAGAACAUUUGGCAACAUCAGAUGGAGGAAUCUGAAACAGAGAUGGCGUCAUUGCCCUAUGAUUGAGGCUUUGAAUUAACUCUUUCCCAGCAUGUUUCUUUGAUUCAUGAGGAUAUACAUUCUCUUUUUUUUUCAUAAUACAUUAAUUAAAAAUUAUACAAAUGGAAGAAGGAAGCAAGUAAAGUAAAUCAAACAUUGAACAUGACAAGGUACAAAAGGCAAGCGAGUCUCAGGUAUCAAGCUUUCCUAGGCGACAAUCAAGUUCAACAAAGCAAAGGUGAAGCAAGGCAAACAAGAAUUCAAGCCGCACGUCAUAGACUCACCAAGCUUCAACACAGUGAACAAAUCAAGGCUGCUUACCAGUAUUUGUUGUACAAGCAAACUUCUCAGUUUUAUGUCACAACAGAUGGUAUCUCGUGUUCUUGAGCAGAGAAGAUACAAUAAUAUUUACCAUUAGAAUCUGCUAUCAACUCUGUUAAAUGUUGUUGCUCCAUGACCUGUGUCUUCAUUUUCGCUAUGCUUUAAAUUUUCUUAAAAUCUAACUCAUUUUGAAAAAAAAAGAAACCCAUUUCAAUAAGACCAGUUUAUAUAAAUGCAUAAAGAAGCCAAGCCAGAUUUGGCUGGCGAGUGGUGAAUUGUGUGAUCUAAUUGUGAUCGUAUAUAAAGCCAUUAAGUUUACGGUUUGGUUAAUUAUGUACCGUAUAACAAGGUCUUUAUAAUUUCAACUUGUUCGUGAAUAAUCAACAAAGCUAUUGCUCUGUUCUUCAAGAGGACUUGGGCCAUAUCUUAGGCUGAACCUCAACUACUCUGUAUUUGAUUACUCUCUGUGAUUUGUUGAUUCUGUUUUCAUUUGAUUACUCUGUUAAUUCCUUUGAUUCUUGAUCAAAUAUCAAAAAGUUAAGUGAGGUCCUGGAGGAUCAUGAUCGGUCAUCUAACACUCUCAAACACGAGUUCUUGAUCUAACUUCCACAAACCUACGAAGUAUUUUGACUUUAGUUGGCAAAUGAAAACAAGGGUUUUAACAUCAAAGGAAAUGGUACCAAGGAAGAUGGCCAAUUCGGGAAUUAAGAUCACAAAGGAAGCAGAGGAGCUCUGUCGUUGGUCCCUGCAGUAUGCAAGUGAUUUUGAUCCUAAUCUCUCAACUUCGCAUCUAUUAUUGCUGGCCUAUCUUCUUCCGACACAGAGGGACAUUUCAAGGCAAGUACUACAAGAAUUUGCAAUUGCUUCACUUUUCCUUGACCCGGUUGAAUUCCAAUGACAAUGGGGUCCAUUAUCUCAACAAACCUAUUAUUUUCAAUAUGUUUCUUGACCCAAUCCUUAAAUAAAGUUUCAUCAAGGCAACAUUGAAAAUCAUAUGUCUUCUUGCCAAUCAAAAGCUCAAGCAGCAAGGCAGCAAAGCUAUUAACAUCGCAAUUUUCUCUGAAUGCUCCAUGAGAAUGGUAUUUAUGUUACCAUCCAACUCAAACCUGGAAAGAUAUUGUCUAUUUUAAGUCUUAACAAGGCCGCAUGGUUUUGUUUCUAGGACACCCAUACAUCCCAAAACGCAUAUUAUCAAUAAAGGUGUGGAUCAGCUCUUAUAAACCCAGCAUCUCUUUUGUACUUUGUCGAUGUGAGAUUGUCUUGGGUGUUACAAUUCAGGUGCCAUUAAUCCAAAUUUGGCCAUUGUGUGAAGUACUCUUAUGUGUAUUUUAACCUCUGAAACAAAAACUGGUGACAUGGAGGUAUUACAUGCAUUAUCAUUAAAUUAAUAUACGAGCUACUCUCAAAGUAUGUGUUGUAUGCAUGUUCUUAAUGUGGCUCACAUUCAUGAGUUUGAGAUUAAUUAAGGCUACUCACAUUUUUAUGAUUAGAUAAUGAUAAGAAUAGUUGUUCCAUAUUUCUAAAAAAUUAAGAUAAGGAUAAUUUCUCAUUUUCUUGAUGGAGGGAAGUGAAGGAAGUCCAUAAAAUAGACUAAGGGUCCUUAGCCUAGCCUACAUACGACUUUCCGUGAGAAUUACCCAUCGAAUUAAAGGCUAUAUAGAGGAAUAGACUAGAAAAUUCUAACCAUUUUUUCAAUUAACUUAAAUAAUAAUGACUGGAGGUAGAGGUACGUAACUUAUUUAAGUUUAUAAUCUAAAAUAUAUUUGGAAAAAUGUUUUUUUCAUCCCUAAGGUUUGAAAUAGCCUAUUUUAUCCUCACUACUUAAAUAAUAGUCUGUUUCAUUCCUAUUUUUUAAGUAAUAGCCUGAAACAUCCUUUCAUUAAUUUAUUGUUAUUAUACCGUAUAAUUCAUUGAGGGCAAAAUAAGAUUUCUAAAUAAUGAUCAAUUAUUUUAAAAUAAACUCUCAAAUACAAAUAAAAAAUAUCUGUCUUUCUACAUAAAUUUAAAAUUUAAGGAUUACUUAAGAAAGAAAAAAAUAACAUUAAAUAAUAUGUAAAAUAUACAUUUAGGACAAAAAAAACCCAUAGAUUUCACAAGCACUAGAUUAUUAUUUUUAUCCUUUAGCUUAUUCUUAACUUUAAUAUGGUCGAAAUAAAUAAAUAAAUGAUCAAUCAGUACUGUUAUUCUACCAAAAGUAAUUAUGGACUCCUUUAUUUACUUAAAAAAAAUACACACUAAAUACAUAACAAAAUACAUUUAAAAUACUGCAGAAUAAAAUAUAAUGCAUUGGAUUUUAUUUUUUUUAAUCUUUUAGCUUAUUCUUGACCUUAAUAUAAACAAUGAUUCUUGAUGAAAAGAAUUAUUAUUAUUAUUAUUAUUAUUAUUAUUAUUAUUAUUAUUAUUAUUAUUAUUAUUAUUAUUAUUAUUAUUAUUAUUAUUAACUUUGUUAAAAAAAGAAUUUAAUGAACACACACAUAUGUGUGUGUGUGUGUGUUGCAUAUUCUUUAGUAUUAUUUUUGUUUCAUUAAGUUAUACUUAAAUUUUAAAUUUAUGCAAAAAAGUCAAAUGUUAUUUAAUUAUUUUUGAGAUUUUUAUUUUAAAAAGCUUUAUAUAUUUAUUUAACUAAAAUUUUUUUAUUUUACCCUCAAUGAAUUUCAGAGUAAACUAAUUAUAAUUUUAUUUUACCCUCAAUGGGCGUGUCAUGAAUUAAGCCAAGCGUUUUAUUAUUAUAUUAGCAUUAUAAACAUCUCAACCGUUACUAAGUACUCUAUGGUUCGGGUAAUCAAUGUUUGUGUGUGUGAACUCCUGAUUAUUUUCAUUUGUCUCUGUUUCUAUCAGUGUUUGGCCUGGGCACAAAGUUUUUUAUGUUCUAAUUUAUUUUCGAAAUCAAUUGACUUUGUAUCAUUAUGUUAUGAUUUAUUUUUUAAAUGAAUUGAAGCAGAGCAAAGCUCACAACGUGCCGCCCAGCCGAAAUGAAUUGAAGUAGAGAAUUUCAGGUUUUAUUAUCAGUAAAACUUUAAUGUCUGAAGUCAAGUACUUAAUUAUAAGGUUUUAAUAAAUUAAACAAUUCAAAUUUAUUCUUCUUUUUAAAUUAUAAAAAUAUUAUUAGUAAAAAUUUUUAAUAAUAAACUAAACUCAACCCAACAAAAAUGUAUUUUGGGUGUCAUCGUUUCUUUACCAGGCGCUCUGACUCUCUUUAAAGAACCAGUUGAUAAUUUUUCUAUCAAAUUAAAGCUCCUCAAAAUAUUCAAAUUUUAUCUUAGUUAAUGUAACUAAUAAAUAAAAUCUCAAAAUUCACAUAAAAAAUUUAUGAAAAUGUUGAUAAUUGUUACUAUAUGUUAUUUUUUUAAGUAGUUUCAUACUAGUGACAAUUUUAUAUUAGAUUGAUAUAUUUUUUUUAAUUAGAAGGUUUUUUAAAUAAAUUAAAGUAAUAACAUUUUACCCCUAAUGUUUUUAAUCUAUAUAAUAAAUAUAUAAUUUAAUCAUUUUAUAAAAUAAGUCACUAAUUUCAAUUGAAAAAAAAAUUGAAUUAAGGACAUAUUUGAAUAUAUAUGGCUUAAUAUCAUAUGGUUUAUAUAUAUAUAUAUAUAUAUAUAUGGACGUCGUUACUAAAAUAAAAAAAAAAUACAGUUUUUAGAACACUAACAGCCAAAGUCCCCAACGUAUAUUUAUUUAGAUUCUCAAGAAACCUUUGAGGUUGUAUGAUAUCAAAGUUGGAUUCAUUACACAUGACUAGUAGGCAUUAACAGGGAUCUAUUUACAAUUCUCCAGAUAACAAAAAAGCGGUAAAUCUAUUAAAUUUAUUGCGCCCAAUUCUCAAAAUCAUUUGCUAGUAACAGAAAGAGGACUUCACAACCCCAGUAAUAAGAACUCUUAACUAAAGAUGGUCGAACAGGGCAAAUUCUGUGCAGCUCAUCUCUCGCAUUCAGAUUCAAAACCACAACCACAAGAAGCUGCUGUCUAUGGCAAUUGAAUUGCUCCAUUUUUCCCUAUAAAUUUUCGUGGAAAAUCAUCAGUAUGAAUAGGACCACAUCAAUGUAAAUGUACAUGUAUAUAUAGCAGCCAUUCAUCACAAAUAUAAUUACAUGUUUACAAAAAUGAAACAUUUUUUAUUUAUCCUAAAGCACCUUUUCCUUCCUCAUUUUUUUUUCCCUCUUCUAUGGUUUGUGAGUGUGUGCAUUAUGCAUGAGAAAUAUUUACCUUAUGAUACUAAGGUGUCCAACGAUGAAGCCAUUCAAUUUCCGUAAGGUAAAUGAACCAAGCCCAACAGAAUAUUUACAGACCAUGGACAAAAGGGAGGAAGACAACAAAAGGGAGAACCAUUUUUGUAAGCCCACUUGUACUUUCAGCGACAACCUAAGUGGUUGGCUGUGUGUUCAAUCAGAUCAUCUUUCCAAAGCUUAGAGUAUGGCUUUAUAUUUAGUUUCUUCGCAAAGUUCCUCAGAUCACCUAAUUUCAUAUUUCUCAAGUGACUAGAAGUAAAGGGGGAAGAUGCCACAGCCUCAGUGCAGGACUCAAUUGAAUGGGAGUCUGUGAUUGAGAGGUCAUCCUUACCUGCACUAUCAUUUGGGUCUCUGUGUGAUUUUGAUAAGUCCAUUUCAAGGAUUGGCAAACUUGUCUUCUUUUUUAUUUUCUUUUUUGGCAGUGAAACUGAAAUUUGCCUGUCAUCCAGAGCACCAUUGGGCUCAUUUGCUUCAAUUGGAUGAUGGUAAACUAUUUUCUUGACUAUCUUUCUGUCCAUAAACUGAUUUGAACUGGGAAUGUCAGAGCCAAGUCCAGAUUUCAAUUGUCUCUUAGCUUUUGAAAUUAUAGAUGAAUUUGAAACAAGUUCAAAAGAAAGAAAACCUUCUCUUUCUUGAACACCUGGUGGAUUUGACUCAAUUUUUCUCUUAGCCUUCUGCUUUUGUGGCUGCACUGAGUACAAAUCAAACCUCUCAUCAUUAGUGGCAGUUUCAACCACUUGAGCUUCUCCUGAUUGCAUUGAUCCCUUAUCAGGCUCUGCCUUGGUUAUAUCUCUUCCUUCCUCAUCCUGCAGCAGUGAAUGUUGGUUAUCAGUAGGACUAGCUCUUUCAACUUUGACAAUGUUCUCAAAAGGUACCUUGGUUGUAUCCCUCUCUUCCUUGUCUUGACACUCUAAAAAUGACGGCAGGGCCGAAUGUUCAUUACCACUAGGACUAGCUCUUUUAAACUCGACAAUUUUUUCAAAAGGUGCCUUCAUUUUAUCUCUUCCUCCCUCAUCUUGCAGCUCUAAAAGUGAAGGCAGGGCAAAAUUUUCAUUAUCAGUAGGACUAACUCUUUCAACCUUGACAAUUUUUUCAAAAGGUGCCUUGGUUGCCUCUCUUCUUUCCUUGUCUUGCAGCCCUAAAAGUGAAGGCAGGGCAGAAUGUUCAUUAUAAGUAGGACUAACUCUUUCAACCUUGACAAUUUUUUCAAAAGGUUUUCUAUUCCCUUCUGCUCCUGAAGAUGAAGAUGAAGAUAAAGAGUCUAUCUUGCCAGUCAGAGUCAAUUUUGAUUCUUUGAUGCACCAUUUACGUGCAGCUUUCUGAGCAAAAUCACACAGUUUUUGAUUAACAUCACAGAAUCCACCUUUUGCCUGUCUGACAGCAUUUAAAUUAGAGUCAGAAUGAUUUCGCCUCUGAUUGAGACCAGCAGUAUGUCUCAAACUAGCAGGACUAGCAUCACAAUUCCCAACUUCUAAAUCAUAAAGAGUAGCCAACACAGAAUCAGAAUUACAGAGAAGUGAGCAAAUUACCUGAACCUUAAUCAUGUCUAGAUUGUGUCUCCUCUUACCAGCAGUCUUCAAAGACAAAUUUUGGAUAACAUUUUUUUCUUUGGUAGUAAAGCCAGGUUCUUCGGUUUCCCCCUUACUGUCACUUUUCAAGUCAAAGCUGCUCAUUAUUUUCUUAUAAGCAGCAUGGCCAGCUUCCAGUGUCAAAUAGUCUGGACUGGAGUUGGAAUCUUCAGCAUUACCAUUUGUAAGCUGUUCAUAAUUAGAGCAGGGACUUAAAUGCAAAAGAAGACUAACUAUGAAUAGCUAUGAAGAAGUACUUGGAUCCUUGUAUAGAAAUAAGAAAAAAGAUAUACAAAAUAAAAAACUUAUUCAUCCAUGCACUCAAACACCAACAUGAAGUUUCAAUAGUUCCAUUAGCCCUUUCAGAACAUGUGCUAACAGAAGUUGAAGCAUAAAAAGAUAAAGCUAGUCAUACCUUAAUUGUUUCUGAAUGGUUUGAUUUAUUCUCUUGAAGCAUCAAAGAUGCAUUUAAGGUCGCACAAUUUUCUGUGGGAGUUAUAGAGCAUUCUUGAAUUUCCUCUUUUAUGGGGACAAAAGAAUCAGACUGACUCAAUUUUAUGCUCUCAUCCAAAGGUUCAGCUGCAUGCUCCGGAGAGGCAACUACACCCAGAGUCUGCUCAUUUGAAGGUUAAACAUACAGUAUCACAUGUCAGCUCCUGGAAGAAAAGGAAAAACAUGCAGGUCUUGAAGAAUAACAUAUGAGAGUUACAUCAAAUGGAAAUGAAGGGAGGGAAAAUCAAUACGCUGAGAAAACAUAAUGAGGUUAGACAUUACAAAAUUAGAGUAAUCCUACUCAUGGAAUGAUAUAAUUAUCAGCAAUCUACUAUUGAUUCAAUCCAUUAGACCAUAGGUAUUAAAAUUCUAUUCUCGUUUCUUCUUAGAGGUACAAAAAAAUGGAAAGGAAAAAAAUGGGGGAAAAGUUCUAGCUUGAUAUUAUGGAACUUUUACACGACGCAGAAACAAUACUUUGCUUAAGAACAGAGUAGAAAAAAGUGAGAAUCUGCAAAAUAUAUCAUGGUCGGUGCUUGUUAAUUUAAAGUUGGAAUCACUCACACACAAAGAGCAUAAAAAUGGUAGAUAACUUGAAUGAGCCUGUAAAGGCUUCCAAUAUCCCCAUUCACAGUUGUCACACACUAGAAAAUUAAGAAAUGACUAAUAAAGAGUUUUCGAGGAUGAACCUGCUUGUCUUUCUCUUGGAAGUAAUCAUUGAGUAGAUCCUUUACUAUUUCAUGUAUUUUCUUUAACUUGUAAAUUAAAGCGCAAUUGAUCAUAAUACAAAUUAAAAUUAAAAUUAACAUUAAAAUUCAGCUCACAUUAGAUUUCAACGAAGGAAAAAAAAAUUGCAAGUGAUAACCAGGAAGAAUGUGCAUAAAACAGAGAUAAAAUGCCGGAAAAUUGGGGGAAUGUGGCUUUCUAGGAAGCCAAACAGUACGAAAUGAGAGUACCUGAAGUUAUUGCUCCCCUCAGAUUGAGCUAAAACGAUAUUAUGAUACACAUUUCUAGGGUUUCGAGAUCUUGAAUCAGAUUGGGAAAGUGCAAUUAGUGAGUGAAAUUUUGUUUUCUGAAAGCAGGCUAAAGAUUGAGGUAAUUUAUGAUUUUGUUGAGGGUAAUAUUGGAAAUGAGUGACACGUAAUUGGACAAAGGGAUCCUUGUGUCCUCGCGCGUUGAAGCCAGCUACUGUCAUUGUGGGGCCCUUCUUUGACUCAUUGGACUUUUUUUCGUUUUGUUUUGCAUGCAAAAUUGGCGCGGCCGAAACCGUUGAUUCGUUGACUUGCCAAAUCGCCAAAUCCUAUUGGUAAAAGAAGAAACGUUUCGUAUAUGUGUGGGGUCCACUACGAGUGGGAAAUUUCUUCUGUUGUUUGGUUCAUCGUACAGCCGCCGUUUCUACUUUUAGAAUAAUUCUUCAGGAACAUAUUUUAUGAAGCAUUCACUAUUAAAUGUAUAUUUUACUUCCAAAGGACUAAACAAAAAUUAUAAGUUUAUGUAUAUGUCAUAUAAGACUAUAUAUGAAUGUUCUCCAUAUCUCCCAGAAGAAGUUAGAAAAUGAUUAUAUAAAUAAGGCAUAAUUGUUUCUUUGAAAAAUUUUAAAGGAAAUAUAACAUAAUUCCAAUUGACCCAUUUGAAUUUUUAAUGAUCGGAACCGAACUGUGGGGGUUAAAGAUCAGUUCUUUUGCGGCUUCGUUUUAAUGUUUGGAUCUGGAUAGGAGGGGUUUCAACGAUUGGGCCAUGACCGACGCGGUGUGACCACUGGUGAGUUGAGAGGUGGCGAAGGGGCCGAUGAAGAGGGAAAGAGAGCCACAUGAGAAGGGAUUGGAAGGGCUCGCUGCUUUCGAAGAAGAAGAAAGCGAAAAAAAAAAAUGAGAAACGAAGAGACUGAAGGUGAAUAAGCGAGAAAGUUUUGUGAGUUUUUGAUGGAUGUUGAUGCCUGACUGGAGUUUGGAGAUCCUGCUCCAGCACUUCUCUAGAGUUGCCGGUGAAGAAAACUCUUUUCUAAUUAGCUUUCGAAUGUAUUGAGCAAAGAUCACCUGAUUGAUUUACUAAAAUCAGAUGGAUCAUGAACUCAUUGCUUUUUAUGCUCUCAAUAUUAAUAAAAUUACAAAGUUUGUGAUGAACAAAAAAAAAAAAAAAAAAAAUUUCGGCAACAUCGGCAAGAAAUGGUGACAAAAUAGAAAUCAGUGUGAAUGUGUAAUCAUCUGCUUGUUUUAUUCCUUUUUUCCCCUUGAUUUAAGUUAUACUAAAAUGGAUGAUGGAAAAGUGGAAAUCCCAAAUGCUGAUUUGUGAAUAUUAGUUCCUUUUUGCUUGAAUCAAAUGAUGAAGAAUCCGGAGAGGGAAAGAUUAGUUCUCUGUUUAAAAGCAGCUUUACAUUUUAAUAUUAAAAAUUGUAAAAGUAUAAGUUGCCGUUGGAUUCGAUCCAAUGGCUACAGAUUGUCUCUCGGAUUAUAACUCCAAUCCAGGAUACUGGAUUGGAAAACUACUCUUACGUUGACAUUUAAAAUUUGUAAACACAAAUGUAAAAGUAUAUGUUUUCUGACUUUUUACGUUAAGAAAAACAAAAUAUAUAUUAAAUAGCCCUACAUUUAGUAAAUCAAAUUUAAUUUUGUUGGUACAUGAUUCAAAAUUUACUUCAUGACAUCAAAUUACACUCAGCAUUACAUCAGUAAAACACAUAAUCUACCUAUAUUCCACUAGAAAUUUAUUUUUCCGAAAGCCUAUUGACCUGAACGAAGACUUGUUGAGAAGGACAUUUUAGCUACUUCUGUGAAGAAUAUAACUCAAGAGGCAAUUGGCAGCCGCUUGGACUGCGCGGUUGUUCCGUUAAAAAUUGGGUCCCUGAAAUUUUCUGUCAGCGCUUUCUCAUCAGCAUAAGAAGCUGAAAUAAGUGAGUGAUAAUGAAACUUUUUAAGGGCUGAACAAGAAGCACUUUUGGUUCAAGAAAAGCAGUUAUCAAGAGCAAAAAACAACAUUCCGAAAAUUAAUCUGACACUGGUCUAUAAAAACAGUUGGUUUCAUUUGCAGUUACAAUAUAAUAUAUUUUCUUUCCUAUUGCAAGUACAAAUACAGGGGCGGACCCAGGAAUUUGUAUUACCCCGGGCUAAAUUAAAAAUAUUUAUAUUUUAAAGUGAGCAUAAAAAUUCAUAAGUAGAAAAAAGUGCAUCAAAUAAGGGGGACACGAAAAAUCUUAUCCAUAUAAGUACGUACUUUAAACAAAAAUGGUUAUAUAAAAAGAGUAGAAAACAAAGGUAAUUAAAAAAUAAAAACAUUAUUUUACAAUUAUGGAAUCUGACUCUAAUAAAAUGUAAUUAUACAAGGAUUAAUAUAUUAAUUGAGGAUUUUAAGUUGAAAUAAAUGAAUACAUGUAAUCACAAUCAAUUAAAAAUUGCUAGUAAAACUUUAAUGUCUGAAGUCAAGUACUUAAUUAGGAGGUUUUAAUAAAUUAAAAAAUUCAAAUUUAUUCCUCUUUUUAAAUUAUAAAAAUAUUAUUAGUCAAAAGUUUCAAUAAUAAACUAAACUCAACCCAACAAAAAUGUAUUUUGGGUGUCAUCGUUUCUUUGCUAGGCGCUCUGACUCUCUUUGAAGAACGAGUUGAUGAUUUUUCUAUCAAAUUAAAGCUCCUCAAAAUAUUCAAAUUUUAUCUUAGUUAAUGUAACUAAUAAAUAAAAUCUCAAAAUUCACAUAAAAAGUUUAUGAAAAUGUUGACAAUUGUUACUAUAUGUUGUUUUUUUUUAAGUAGUUUAAUACUAGUGACAGUUUUAUAUUAGAUUGAUAUACUUUUUUUUAAUUAGAAGGUUUUUUAAAUAAAUUAAAGUAAUAACAUUUUACCCCCUAAUGUUUUUAAUCUAUAUAAUAAAUAUAUAAUUAACUCAUUUUAUAAAAUAAGUCAUUAAUUUCAAUUGGAAAAAAAAAUUGAAUUAAGGACAUAUUUCAAAUAAUUGAUCCACGGCUGUAAAUAAUUACCGAGAAAAGCAUCAAAUAAAGUUUCGUAGUUCACUGGAUAUCUACUCUACAGCCAGCAACAACAAAAAUAUUAGCAAUUAAAUUAAAAUAAAUAAAUAAGUGGAAGAAAAAAGAACAAAGAAAAAUGAUAUCCAGCCAAUUGCCUCUUGAGUUAUAUUCUUCACUUAAAACCAUGCAAUAAUACGUAAGAGACUAAAAGAGUGGUGUUAAGUAAGCAUACUCUGGGGAAUGAAAAACUUAACACCAUGCAGAAUCUGCAAGAGACUAAAAGAGUGGUGUUAAAAAGAGUGUUACUAGCAAUAAACACAUGUGAUAAAUAAAUACAAUCUCACGUGCAUUUUCAACAAAUGUUCGAACUACGAAACUUUAUUUGAUGCUUUUCUCGGUAAUUAUUUACAGCCGUGGAUCACAUGCUUGCUGUUAUGGCGAGCAUUUUUGAAUGGUAAUGACUUGUGGUUUAAUUUGGGGUUUUGCUAAAUUAUACUAACUCGGAAUUAAUUUUUUUGUAUGGAUAAUUAUUGUUGCUGUGUUAAAUAAUUAAAGAGCUAUGGGAGAUUAAUUUUAGAUUAACUGUCAGUUACAGUGAAUUUUGUUGUGCUUUCCCUUGUAAAGUGGCGCAUAAUUGCAUACGUGUUAAAUUAUUUAUUAACUAAGAGCAUGACAAUAUUGGAAAAGAAGGAGGGAAAAUAAAUAGAAGACAUGAUAUUUAGAGAUGACUUUUAUUCACUCUCAAACAUAUACAAAUAAGGAGAUGAGCUCUUAUUUUGUAAUCACAUAACCGUGUAAAUGAAGUAAAUAAUUCGUAAAUAAAUAUAUCAUUAGACAUAAGUUCUUUUAAGAUAGUGAAAAUUAUAAGAAAUGAAGAGUUGUUUGAUGUGAAGAUAAAAGAUUCUUUGAUGAACAUCUACAUAAAUUAUGAUUAUUUGAUAACAUUUCUCCUUGGAUGUUCAUCCUAAAAAGAAUAUGGCUCAUUGAAACCUUUGCUGGUAAAAACCUUAUGAGAAAUAGACUAACGAAGGAAAAGGAAUACACUAUUCAUUUAUACCUUAUAGAGGUAGGGGUACAAUCUGCCUUGUUAAAACUUUAAUAAGAAAAUCCAAUGUGACAAAAACUUAAUGAAGGAAAAAGAAUAUAGUGCAUGGAGCCUUCUAUAUCCGUAACUCCCUUCUCUUCAAUAAGGGCACUUUCCCUCAAAGUGACAUGGGUGCUUCAAUGAUCAAUCAUAUUUUAUUGUAAUACCUUGGUUAAAUAAUCUACAAGAUCAACACAUCUUUCAAGAUUUUUCAUCUGGAAUCUUAUUCAUUCUUAAAAGAAUAAAAUCAUAAGCUCUUCAAGAGUAUUUUCCAUUUUUAGAUCAUCAACAUAUUUUGCAAAGAUUGCAAAUCUAAUUUUUAAUUUUUAAUAAAAUCACAUAGCUAAGUGGAUAACAACAUAUCAAGCUUUUAACAAAUUUCACUAAAGUGAUUAUACUUUAUAACUCUAGAUAGCUAUAACAUACACAAUCAUGAUUAUAGCCCUAUCAAGAAUAUAGAAAGUGCAAGUUUUUUGAUUUAAUACUUCAUGUACUUAUUUCUAGCAUUUUAUCCUUCAAAUAUAAGUACAUAGAUUCUUUAAUUUGACUUUGACAUAGCAUAGUUUAGAUACAAGUUUUAUUAGAAAUUUUAUGGCUUCAGGUGUGUGGACUAUAUGUUAAAAUUUUUAUAUUUUGUUAAUUAAUUUUAUGUCUUCUAACAGAUGGACCACAUGUCAAAACUUUGGCUAAUCACAUAAAUCGAUAUUGUUUUAUAUUUUUGUGAUUUAGGAUCUUGAAUAUUUUAUCAUAACAACUAAAUUUUUAUUAACAACAAUCUUAUGCCAAUUUCAAUUUUUCUCUUGCACCAAGUACCAACAUACUAGUGAUUAAAUAUUUUUUAUUUGUCAAUAUAUGUGCCCAAUGAGAUAUUUUGAAGCUUCUAAUAAAUAUGUCUAUGCAAGGGUUAAAACUCUCUUUUAAUUUCCAAGCAUGUCUUUUAUAGGACAAUUUGGAUCUCUUUAUUCCUCACCAUUUACCUAUUCAAGAGUAUUUAAGAUUCCUUUUCUAGUUAGUAGGAGCUAUAUAUUCAAUCACUUAAUAAAGAUCAAAUAUUUUGCUAUACAUGCGAACAUGGUCUCUGUAGAGCAUUGAAUUAUUUUGUUUUAACUUCCCGAGAAUUAAAUUCUUGCAUCAAUUGAUUUAUCACAUGCUUCAAGCGUUUAUAUAUUUAAUUAUUUGUCUCAUCAUUUCGUUCUUCAAGGACAUCAUAUAUAUCAACCCACAAUCAUAUUUUAUUUGUGAUUUUUCACUUUCAUAUAUCAACAAAUUCAUUCAAUAAUCGAUCAACAAUUCACAUUGUAUAAUAUCCCUUUUGAACUUCAAGUUCAAAUUACAUAAAUAUGAAGACGAGGUAAAGUGAUAUAUAGUAUUAUCAUAAAAUCAAAUCAUCCAUCAUGUAUAGCUUUUCUAUCCCUUGUGAUGGGAAGACCUUUUCAUAAAAUAUUUAUGCAUAAAUAUUGGUGAAUCAUAACAAAUAAUAAAUUGCUUCUAUAAAUUCAUCUUCACUUGAUUUAAACAAAAAUAAAAAAUCAAGACAAUCUGUUACCUCUUGAUUAAAAUUCUUCUGAAUUUUAUAUAAUUUGAUACAUAAUCAUUAGCCUGAUUUACAAAUUUACCAUUUGAGCUUCAUCAUUUCAAACUAUGUAAGAAACUCUAGAAUUAUUGAAGUUUCAUCACAAAUUUUUUCAAUUUCUAAUUUGUUCUACUUCGUGUGGUGCUAUAUAUAUAUUGCAAUCAUAAAUACUUAAAUGUUGAUCUCUGCAAUGUCAAUAAAUUUAAUCAUGGCAUGUCUUCCACUAAUCCCACAAUUAUCAAAUAAACAUUCGCUUCAAGGAAUGUUACUGCUGGAGCAUAAAUGAGCUAUAAAAUAUUUGCUCAUACCACAUGUUCUCUUUAAAUAUAUUCUUGAUGAUUUUCUCCUCAUAUACAUAUAAAAACAAGAAAAUCAAAUCAUGAACUUUUGUUUGAUCUUUCAGUGAUCGCAUGUUUUCUUUUACUUGUUUCAAAGAAACAAAUUAUCCAUUUGGAUAUUCAAUUUUCGCUCCUUCAAGGAGAUAAAAUAAAUCACCAUUUUAAUUCAAUCCUUGAACAUCUUCCAUAUAUUAUGUUAUUUUUCCUUCAAAUUUUUUUUGAAACAACCAAUUAUGCCUUAUUUAUAUAAUCAUUUUGUAACUCGUUCUGGAGAUAUGGAGAAAGAAAUUCAUAUAUAAUCUUAUACGACAUAUACAUAAACUUAUAAUAAAGAAGCGAUUUCAUAGAUUCAUUCUCUUAAAUCAUAGAAAAACAUAUAAAUAUAAUUUUAGACAAAAUCUAAAUAGUUCAAUUCAUACCUUUAUGAUUAAGAUCAAAAGAGAGAAAUUUACCGUACUACCUUUUUCGCUAAGAAUCGUAUUGAUGCAUGUUAAAUUAUUUAUCAAUUAAGAGUUCAACAAUAUAGCAAGAGAAAGAGAGAAGCAAAUAAGAGACAUGAUGUCUAGCGACGAAGUUUAUUCAAUCUCACGUAUAUACAAACAAGGAGAUGAGUCAUCCUUUUAUAGUCACAUAACCAUAUAAAUGAAGUAAACGAUUAGUAAAUGGAUAUAUCAUUAGUUAUAAGUUCUUAUAAGAUAGUAGAAGUUAUAAGAAAUAAAAAGUUGUUUGUUGGGGAGAUAAAAGGUUGCUUUGAUGAACAUUUACAUAAAUUAUAAUUAUUCUCUCUCUCUUUCUCUCUCUCUCUCUCUCUAUAUAUAUAUAUAUAGAGACAAAGAGAGAAAAUUUUCAAUUCAGGAUUUUAAAGUGCGGGAACUACUAUAUAUAUAUAUAUGUAUGUAUGUAUGUGUGUGUGUGUGUAUGUAUGUAUGUGUGUGUAUGUAUGUAUGUAUGUAUGUGUGUGUGUGUAUGUAUGGAUGUAUGUAUAUUGGCAAGACAAAUGACGUUUAUAAUUAGAAAAUAUUGCUCUCUCAAUAUCCUGCAUAACAAUUGUAGCAAUCCAAAGUUAUCUGUUUAAUUACACAAUAGUUCAAAGAUGAAAAUGCUUAUAUCUCAAAAAGAAAAUUAAUGAGAAGAAAAGAGACAAGUUUAAUAUGUGGCCUUUUUUUUUUUAAAUUGUGAACUUAAUUAAUUUAAUUUCAAUCAGUUAAGUCAUUAAAGUCUGUUCAUUUUUUCAACUUAUUAAAAGUUUUCAAUUAUUAAACCAAUUUUUUCCUUUUCGCUUUUUACUUAAUCUAAAAAAUCUGAAGAUAUUGUCUGAAAUAUCUCAAUUUAAUAAAUCUAUUUCAUCUAAAUAAAAUUUAAUCAGGGGCAAAGCCAAAAAAAAAUUGGGUGGGCUAAAUGUUUUCCAAAGUCCAAAUAUUAUCACAAUUAAGAGUGUAAAACUUAAUAAAAAGUUCAUUAAUAUAUAAGAAAAUAAAUCGAAUCCCAAAAGUAAUUCAAUUACAAUUAAAAAUUCCUUAGGUUGUACCUUACGAUACUUUCGAGCAUUAAAUUUAUCUAUUAUUGAAUUUGAAUCGAUAGUGUCUACAAUUCUCUUUUAUUGUAGAUAAACCAUACAAUUUGAUAUAAACUCCUUCUCCAUCUUAUUUUGAAGUGCUGUCUUGAUUACCCACUAAACCAGGCCAUUUGAUUCAGCUCUUAGAUUUCUUCUUUUCUUUCAUAGAAACAACUAUCUCUAAUAUAUGAUCUAUCAAUAAUCAAUUUAAAAAUUUAAUUGCUAGAAUUCAAUGAUUUGACCUAACAAUAAUUUAAUCUUAUGCAAUAAAAUUAGAAUAAGAACUAACUAAAGUCUUUACUACCAUACAAUUAAUAAAUAUAUUGUAAAUAAUUAAAUAAAAAAUAAUUUUAUUAUAUGUUUUUACCAACAAAAGAUAAAUAACUGAAGAAGAAGCAGAGCACGUCAACACCAAGAACCCAAGAAACAAAGAGAGCAUGUUUUGAAAGAACAAAGUAAAUGCUCACUUUUACUAAUUUAUUUAUAUGAAGGACAAAGUUGCAAAUUAAUGGAAUGAUAAAGUUGUAAAUAAAAGAAAGGGUAAUGAGAAUUUUGUAAACUUUGCACAAUGGUAUUUUUGGAAAUUUAUCAAAAUUUUGGACAGGCUGCAACCCACAAGUAGCUCCGCCCAUGAAUUUAAUAAUUAGCAUUAUUAUUCAUUUCUAUAAACUAUGAUAAUAGAGUAGUAGAUUAUUACUAUUUGUAUCUUUUUAUUUUCUUCAAAGAAUUAUUUAUCUCCAUAAUUUUUAUAAAAAUUUUCAUAUAACCCAUCGUAAACUGUAAUAAAAUUGAUUUACAUGUUUUAAUUCAUAAUUUUAAAGGAUUAUUUUCACUUCAACAUCAUUUAUGUAAUGAUGAAAAUAUAAAUAUUAUUUUCUUCAUCAAGAUAUUUAUUACUUCUUUAGCAUUUAAAAUUUGUAAGAACACAAAUGUAAAUGUACAUGUUUUCUAACUUUUAUGUUGAGGAGAAAAAAAAAAGCCUUACAUUUAGUAAAUCAAAUUUAAUUUUGUCGGUGCAUACAUGAUUCAAAAUUUACUUUCAUGACAUCGAAUUACACUCCCCAUUACAUCAUUAAAACACAUAAUCUACCUCUAUUCCACUAGAAAUUUAUUUUUUCGAAGGCCUAUUGACCUGGACGAAGACCUGUUGAGAAGAACAUUUUAGCUACUUCAGAGGAGAGUCUAAAUCAAGAGGCAAUUGGCUUCUGCUUAGACCACACGGUGGACAACCAUACAGGCAACAUGAUUAGAUAAAAGGACUAAUGAAUGGUGUUGAAGUUGUUCCCUCAAAAAUUGGGUAACUGCAAUCUUCUGUCAGCACUUUCUGAUCAUUUUCUUUGUUUAAAACGACUAAUGAAUGGUGAUGAAGUUGUUCCCUUAAAAAAUGGGUACCUGCAAUUUUCUGUCAGCACUUUCUGAUCAUUUUCUUUGUUUAAAAGGACUAAUGAAUGGUGUUGAAGUUGUUCCCUUAAAAAAUGGGUACUUGCAAUUUUCUGUCAGCACUUUCUGAUCAUUUUCUUUGUUUACCGUUUUUCCCCGGCAAAGAUCACAUGCAUGUUGAUUGUAUGACUUUCUUUAUCCACACUAUGUAUUGUUGUUGUCUGUUUGGGAUUCGCCAGAGGAUUUUCUUGGCUUAUGUCAUCUCAGACCGUCAUAUGCUAACCAUAAUCAAUGCUCACAAUGAAGACUUUUCUAAGCUUCAAUAAUUGAUGCUUAUUAUACAGAUUAGCAUAAAUUGGCAUGGAUUCGAGGAUUUGCGAUAUAACAACAUAUCCUGAAAGCUUACGAUAAUUACAAUGUUAUCCAAAAUGUUCCCUAUACUUGAAUACGUAGCUUUGCUUUCUGUGAUAUUGUUUCAAUUGGAGCCUAGAAUUGCUGAUUCUAACAACACAGUAAUGAGGUGCAUUGAUGAGGAGAGAGAAGCACUUCUCACUUUUAAACAGAGCCUGGUGGAUGAAUAUGGUGUUCUGUCUUCCUGGGGAAAAGAUAAUGACAAAAGAGAUUGCUGUAAAUGGAGAGGAGUCCGUUGUAGCAAUAAAACUGGCCAUGUCAAGGUGCUCAAUCUUCGAAGAUCCGACGAUGAAAAUUCUCGAGGGACAGUCUUGAAAGGUACAAUUAGCCCUGCUUUGCUUAAAUUGCAUGAUUUAAGACAUUUGGACCUUAGUAACAAUCACUUCGGUGGAAGCCCACUUCCUGAGUUCAUUGGUUCCCUCAGUAGAUUGAGGUACCUCAAUCUCUCUUGUGGUACAUCUUUAUUAAAAGUACCUCGUCCAUUCCAGUACCUUUCAGGAUUGGUAUAUCUUCACCUAGAAAACUCUAAUUUAUUUAGUUUGGGAAGCCUACAGUGGCUUUCUCAUCUUUCUUCUUUAAGGCACCUAGACCUGAGUUACAUUAAUCUCACUAAAUCUAGUGAUUGGUUUCAAGUAGUUGCCAAGCUCCGUUCCCUAAAAACAUUAGUCCUACACUCAUGUGCUCUUCCACCUAUCAAUCCUUCAUCUAUUUGGCACUUCAAUUUGAGUACGUCUAUUGAGACCCUUGAUCUCUCCGACAACAAUCUCCCUUCUUCAUCAGUAUACCCUUGGCUUUUCAAUCUUAGUCGGAAUAUUCAAUAUCUUAACCUUGGCUUUAACUCAUUACAAGGUUCAAUUCCAGAGGCUUUUCAACUAAUGGUUUCUCUUAGAUUUCUCUAUCUCACCUCUAAUGAACUUGAAGGUGGGAUUCCAAAAUUCUUCGGAAAAAUGUGUAGCUUAAAUAGAUUAUGCUUGCCUUACAAUAAACUCAGUGGAGAUCUCUCGGAGAUGAUUCAAAAUCUGUCUGGUGGAUGCACGAUGAAUUCACUGGAGGGUGUAUGUUUAGAAGGCAAUGAUAUCACAGGACCAUUACCUGAUCUUGGAGGUUUUUCAUCCCUAAAAAUAUUAGUACUUGGAGAAAAUCGAUUAAAUGGAACAAUAGACAAAAGCCUCAGCCAGUUGUUGAAGCUCGAGUCUCUGUCACUUGGUAGGAAUUCAUUCACAGGUGUUAUCUCUGAAACCUUUUUUUCCAAUAUGUCCCACUUGCAGAUGUUGUACUUGAAUGAUAACUCUUUGACUUUGAAAUUGAGCCAUGAUUGGGUUCCUCCUUUUCAACUGAAAUCGUUAAGUCUUGCCUCUUGCAAGAUGGGACCUCAUUUUCCAAAAUGGCUUCAAACUCAAAAUCAACUUAUUUCCCUUGAUGUCUCCAAUAAUGGAAUCUCGGAUGCUGUCCCUGAUUGGUUUUGGGAUCUGUCUAUUGAACUCGUUUUUUUAAAUCUCUCUAACAACCAGAUCAGGGGUAAACUUCCUGAUUUGUCUUUUUUAAGAUAUGAUGAUAUUGUUAUAGACGUCAGUUCAAACCACUUUUGUGGCCCAAUUCCACCACUUCCGUCAAAUUCUACAUUCUUGAAUCUCUCAAAAAAUAAGUUCUCAAGAUCAAUUACUUUCUUAUGUUCUAUUAUAAAAAACACAUGGAACUUUUUUGAUCUCUCGAGUAACUUAUUAUCUGGAGGGCUUCCCGAUUGUUGGUUGAACUUUGAUAGCCUAUCCAUUCUUAAUUUGGCAAACAAUAGCUUCUCCGGGAAAAUUCCAGACUCGAUGGGCUUCCUCCAUAAUAUCCAAACACUGAGUUUACACUCCAAUAGGUUAACCGGGGAGUUGCCUUCAUCUUUAAAAAAUUGCUCACAACUGAGAGUUUUGGAUCUUAGAAAGAAUGCAUUGUACGGUGAGAUACCAACCUGGAUAGGGGGAAGUCUUCAAAAUUUGAUUGUUCUUAGCUUGAAAUCUAAUAAUUUUCAUGGAAAUAUACCUUUUCAGUUAUGCCAUCUGGCGUUCAUUCGAGUUCUGGAUCUCUCUUUAAACAAUAUAUCGGGAAAGAUACCAAAAUGUUUCAAUAAUUUUUCAGCCAUGACCCGAGAAAAAAGUUCCAAUCCUAUCAUUGGGUUGGCUGAUAAAAUCUGGAUUUUCCCUAGAUAUGUAUAUAGGUAUAGUUAUUUGGACAAUGUUCUGUUGACAUGGAAAGGAAGUGAACACGAGUACAAAAGUACUUUGGGACUUGUAAAAUGUCUUGACCUUUCGAGUAACAAACUACAUGGAGCAAUUCCUGAAGAGAUUAUGGAUCUUGUGGGGUUGAUUGCUUUAAACCUUUCAAGAAACCAUUUAACUGGACCAAUCACUCCAAAGAUUGGUCAAUUAAAUUCAUUGGAUUUCCUUGAUUUAUCUAGAAACCAGUUUUCCAGAAGCAUUCCGUCUAGCCUUUCUCAACUAAAUGGUCUUAGUGUCUUGGACUUGUCGUCCAACAACUUGUCAGGAAAAAUCCCAUUAGGUACUCAGCUUCAAAGCUUCAAUGCUUCGGUGUAUGCUGGAAAUCCUGAACUUUGUGGCCUUCCACUUCCAAACAAAUGUCCGGAUGAAGAAUCAACUCCAUUGCCAGGCAGAAAUGAUGGUGCAAACACUCUAGCAGAUGAGGAUGAUCAGUUUAUGACUCUCGGAUUUUACGUGGGCUUGAUUCUUGGUUUCUUUGUUGGAUUCUGGGGUGUCUGCGGAACUUUAAUGCUGAAUAGGUCGUGGAGACAUGGUUACUACAACUUCUUGACUGGUAUGAAAGAUUGGCUUUAUGUGACAGCAGCUUUGAAUAUUGCCAAACUGCAAAAGUUCAGGAACUAAUUAAACGGUAAUACUCCUAAGUGUAUAGUGCAUUUUAGUAAAGAUUAUUGGCUUUCACAUAUGCUUUUAAUUUCUUCAUCCUUAGACUUGACUCUUUCCUCUUACAAGAUUUUGUUUAUCAAAUCAAUUGUUACUAUUUUUUUGGCAGGGUCUCCCGGUGAUGGCAUCUUGUCAUUAAUUUUCAGAGUACUCAUUUCAUUUUUGGAAACUUUCUAAAAAUAAAGUUGUGCUCCCAUAUGAUGCUCAUUGUAUUAUUGAGUAUAUGCCUAAAGAAACUUGGAUGUGUUUCUCUUUAGUCCAUCAUCGAUUUAUGCGUUUAUUAAUUAUAUGCUCUUGUUCGGAGAAAUUCUAGAGUAAAUCAGAGGUAUUACACCCAAUUAGAGUUUAAUUAUACUACUAAUUGGAAUAAAGACGGUCAAAUUCUGCUCUGUUGUUGAUUAGUGUUAGAAUUUUUAUUUCUUGGAUUUUUGUGUGCCUUACACCUCUUUAUUAGUAUUGAAUAAACUUCUAACAAUAAAAGAGAGAUCUCGCUACAGGAUGUUCAGUGAACAUAAGCAUAAAGCUAAAACACGCUACAUAAAAAUUAAAAUAUCUAAGGUGCAUUUGUACUUUGUAGAGAAUACACGCUUAAUUUAAAAUUCUAGUUGUAUGAAACAUGUUAUAGAAUUUUCUAGACGACAUGGAUAUUUCUUAAUAGAAUAUAUAUUUUAUGAAUGAUUUUUAAAAAGGACCUUAUCUUUUGUUGGGUAAUUUUAAUUACUAUAUGUGUCAAUGUACAAAUAUACACAACAAGUAAUAUACUGAUGAGUCUAAAUUAAAAUAAAAUAAUUAAUGAAAUUAAUGAACUAACUAAAUUAAAAUUGCAAAUAAACAAAAUGCAAAAAAGAAAAUUCUCAAGUCAAACAUAAGGACAAAGUCAAUGGGAAUAGAGUAGUUGGGUGAUUAAACUCACUUAAUUGUAUUGAUUGUUUUUCCAAUUAAGAUUAUGUUGCUUUAGCAUCUCCUACAACACUGAGCAGAAUCUCUCACGUAUUCUCAGCUGUCGCUUGUUGAAUAUCUUAUAUCUAAAUACAACCUAAUAAUGACUAGUUGUUACGCUAACAUUAAAUAUAGCAUCAUGUGUUCUAAGUUCUAAUUGCCCUACAAGGUAAAUCCGUAUGUCUAGUUCUUUAUUAAUUUUAGAUUAAGCAUGUCCCUAUUUAAAUCAAUAUUAACUCAACUUGGGAAACCCAAUCUAAAGCCAUUUAUUGUCUUAAUUUGUUCCACUAAGUUAGAUAUUUUUUAGGUUGUUUCUUAGCUAGUAUUCACUAAAUGGGUGGUCAGCCGAAAUAGGGAAUUGCAAUAAGUAAAAUCAAGACAAAAUGCUAUAGUAAAUACAGAGCAGCACACAUAUAUCAUUCAAAUAACCAUUAAGCUUAUUUAUCACUCAAUCACAACAAAGUUUAGUUUAGGAUUUGCGAUAAAACGGUAACAAAAAUAAGUUUAGCCAUGAAAUACUGAACUUAUUUAAGUUUAUAAUCUAUAAUAUAUUUCUAUAUAUAUAUUAUUAUUAUUAUUAGGCUUUAAUUAUGUUACAUGAUCAUGUAACAUACAUAAUUCUUCCAUAGCCGUUGGAUGAAAAUUCAACGACUAUGGAAGAAUCAUAUAUCUUACAUGAUUAUGUAAGAUAAUAAUCACUUUAUUAUUAAGCUAACAGAAGGAUGAUGUAAUACAUAUGUACAUGCUUCUAGACAACAAAUUCAGAGAAGCAUUACGCAAAGUCAACAGUUAACUAAUCAAAGUCAGCGGACAAUUACGUUUGGUCCUUGCUUGGGAAUUUCUAAUUUCAAUGGCAGCAAAGUCUGUGGAAAAUUACUUUAAAUGAAGUAUGUACACAAAUGCACACCAAUUAAGAAUAUUACAAAAAUCAUUUAGAUGGUACACAUCAUACAUAAACACAGCUUCAGUUUCGGAAGGGGACCAUUAAUUGUUCAAAAUCGAUAUACAAACAUGGUGGCCCUAGCUAAGAAGAUAACAUGCAUGAUAAGGAUAAACAAUUACCCCAAUCUUUCUUUUGUGGACAUGUGGAUAAAACAAAGACAGAUUCUGAAAGAAGGCGUAUCUAUAGAUGGCCAAUUCAGAACUUAUUUAAGAUCAUACGUUAAUUUUAUUUUUAAUUGAGAUAGAGCCUCUCAUGUUGGCGUUAAUAUGUAGACAAAUAUGAAUCUGAUGCAUAAUAGUACUUUUGAAAUUUUGUUUAAUUAAUUCUUAAGUUGAAAUAUAAAACAAGUAUUCCCCAAUCAACCACGAAGAAUUAAUACCCAUUUAGUUUUUUAAUCUGAAAUUUAAAAUCAGUCUGAAUUUGGUUGAAGUCUUAGCUGAUAGUUUGAUGUGUUUUCUUUUUUUUUUUUAAUAUCUAAAUAUAAUUGACAUUAUAUUUGUUCUUAUAAAUAAAAAAAAGUUAAAUACAGUUAUUUAACAUUUAUAUCCUUGUAAGUUAAAAUGCAUAAAGGGCUUAAGCUUUAUAGUUUAGCAAAUAAGUAUAUUUAAUAGAGAUGUUUUAGGAUAUAAUAUUUACUUCUUCGUGCCUUUUCCUAUUUAUAUAAAAGUCACAAAAGUUUACUCUUUAUUUUUAAUUCAAAUGUAAAUGUCUGAAAAAUCAUAUAUAAGUUAAAAAAACAAACGAACAAUUUUAAAAAAGUUUGAAAUAAAAAAAAUUCAAAUUUUAGACAUUUAACCAAUAAGCAUCAAUUUCAUCUUGGUCAAGAGAGUAGUUGGCUACCAUGAAAUUUCUGAUCCCUGUCUAGUAUGGGCAUGUCAUGAAUUAAGCUACGUAUUUUAAUUUUUGCCUUAAAAAAAUUUCCAUUCUUUGUUCUAGAAAAUUGAAAAAAAAAAGAAUAAAAAAUAGUUCACGUUGGUAUUAUCAUUAUAUUAGUCUUAUAAACAUCUCAACCGUUACUAAGUACUCUAUGGCUCGGGUCUUUAGCAGGGUUAUUGAUAGGAAUCAACCGUUUAUUCGCUGACGCAGUAUCAAUCACCAUUGGUUGUUCUUCCACUGUUUAAGAUACAGAUUUAAGAGCAAAGCAAUUUGAAUGCUUGUAAUUGUUACUCUUGCAUCCAAUUUUCCCCAGGAAUUACAGGAUCAACAAUCCCAUCAAACAUAUUACUUUUAACGUGGCUUAACAGGAUCAACAAUCCCACUGCAGUAGUCAGGUGAUUUUGUCCAUGAUUUAUUCAAUUCAGUCUACAGUUCACUAAUUAUGAAAGGAAAGCAUUAAUAAAUUAUCAGGACAAGCUUUUUAUAAGUGAAUUUCUGCCCAAACAAAGCAUCAAGUGACGAUAUAUACCAAAACUGUAAACAUCAUAGUUCUCUUAUUUUCAAUAAAAUGUGUUUUAUUUUUUUGGGUAAACGUAAACCAACGCCAGUUUUAUUUUGUUUCUACGAGGCUUUGUCAUCAUUUUGUGUGUUUACCAUUUUUCCACGGCAAGAUUACAUGGAUGUUGAUUGUACGACUUUCUUUAUCCAUGCUCUGCAUUGUUGUGUGUUUGGGAUUCGCCGGCGACUUUUCUUGGCUUUAUUCAUCUCUCAAAUUUUCAUAUCCUAACACAUAAUCAACGCGCAGACUGAAGACUUUUCUUGGCUUCGAUAAUUGAUGCAGAUUAUACACAGUAGUAUAAAUUGGCAUGGAGUCCAGGAGUUUCGAUAUAACAGCAUAUCCUCAAAGCUAAUGAUAAUUAUAAUGUCAUCCAAGUUGUUCCUUCUAUUUGAAAAUAUAGCUUUGUUUUCUGUGAUAUUUUUUCAAUUGAAGCCCACGACUGCUGAUUCUAACAACAUAAUAAUAAGGUGCAUUGAUGAAGAGAGAGAAGCGCUUCUCACUUUUAAACGGAGCUUGGUGGAUGAACAUGGCGUUCUGUCUUCCUGGGGAAGAGAAGAUGACAAAAGAGAUUGCUGUAAAUGGAGAGGAGUCCACUGUAGCAACACAACUGGCCAAGUCAAGGUGCUUAAUCUUCGAACAUCCGAUUAUGAAUUUGCUCGGAGGAAGUUCCUGAAAGGUACAAUUAGUCCUGCUCUGCUUAAAUUGCAUGAUUUAAGACAUCUGGACCUUAGUAACAAUGACUUUGGUGGAAGCCCAGUUCCUGAGUUCAUUGGUUCCCUCAGCAAAUUGAGGUACCUCAGUCUCUCUUGCGGCGGACCUUUAGAACUCCCUCGAAAAUUCCGGAACCAUUCAAGAUUGGAAUAAAUGCAAUUCAGGUAUAAACUUCUUUUCCAGAAUCUACUGGGGUUCUUCUUAUCAGGUAUGGAUUUAAAUGUAAAAAUGAAAGAGGGUCGUCCAUUAGCAUUUCCAGAAAUGGUGGUGUAAAAGGAUUGUAGAAAAUUAUUUUUCCUUAAGGUUUAGAGUUCGAAGUUCGAACGGUAGAGAAAAAUGGCCUUUGAAGAAAAUCUAUUUUGGUUGGGUGCAGAACUGCAGAUAAUUGAAGAUCUAAGGAAGAUAGAAAAUGGGAGGAGCUUAGGGAGAAAUACAGUAGAAGGACAAAACCUGAAUCCUACUCUCAUUGUGUUGAGUUUGGGAAAUCGAAUGGAGCUGUAGUUUGUAGAGGGUAUAUUAUCUACGAUGAAUGGAAAGUGAUCCAGCAAGGGCUUGUAGAUAGAUUUGGGCACUCUUUCGAUCUGAAACUAUUCCACAAUGAAAAAGUAACUUUUUUCUGUCAAAACACAAAUGGAAGUAACCGGUUGGGUAAUAUAUGCAUUUGCAGAUUGCAGGGCAACGUCAUCAUGGUGUUACGAGGAUGGGUACAACAUUAUUGAUAGAUCAUUGAAUGAUUGAUAUUGAAAGAUUAAAAAUUACUUUUAAGGUUUUGGCUCAUUGUUCGUAGUUAUUAUUAUUGACACGACUGAACAACUAGUUAUAUUACCAUUACGAUUAUUAUGGGGUACAAUACCUUGAUUGAUUAAUUGGCUGGAUCAUCGGGAUUAUAGGUGAUAUAUUAAUUGUUGGGCCACAAGAUUAUAGGUGAUAUAUUGAUUAGCCGAGUCAUCGAGAGCGCAGGUGACACUAUGUGACAUGAGCAAUUGAAUAACAGAAAUAUUUUAUUGUUAAAUGAUUUCUUAGAUGAUUAAAUAUUUGAAAAUGAUUAUUACAUGAUGACUUAACUUAAAAUGAAUUUUAUCAUACUCAUGCAAUAGAUUGUAAAAUGAAUAUUGUUUUCCAAUUUAUGGUUCCUUAUAAUGAUUAUUAUGUAUUUUAUUGUUAUUGGUAAUCUCAUGCAUGAAUUUACUUACCAAGUUGAUGGCUCACCCCUCGUCUCCAACAUUUUGCAAGUUUAUUUUAGAGAUGUGGGGUUUUUGGUUUAGAGAAGAGGAUUUUUUAGCUAACACAUUUUCUUUGAUGAAUAAAUUGUCAUUAUUUUGGUUAUUGUUCAUAGUUGAAUUUGUUUUGGAUGAUUAUUGUUAUAUUUAUUAUUUUAGAGAUUUUAUUUUGACAGUGGACAAUAUUGAUUUUUAUAUUAAUAAGAUUAAUAUCACAAGGUUUCAUUCAUUCCCAAUUCCUCUUGUAAAUUAUAGGGUGAAUUUGGGUUAUUACAUUAUUAAUUAAAUUUCUACAUAGAUGACAUUACAAAGAUGUUGAUCAAAGACUAAAAUAUUUCGGAGAAGAUGGUAAUGUUGUUAGGGUGCACCAAAUUUAAAACCUUACUACUAGUAUAAAUAAUUAGUAUAGAGCGAGUAAGGAUCGAUCCCACAGAGACUAUGCUAGUUGUAUUUAUUAUCAACUCUAAAGCAGAACUUUAAAUAAAAUAAUAAUAUAAAUUAAUCUAACUAAAGAAAAUGCCAACUAAAAAUAGAGAAAAUGGGGGUUUUUGAAUUUUUAACUAAAUAGUAAGAAAUAAAGAAAUUAAAACUACGAAAACAAUAAUUUAAUAAAAACUCUAAUUAAAGGAGAAAGAAAUAAUAAUGAGAAAAACUUUGGUUAAAUGAUCAUUCGCCACCACCAAACCUGCGCAUAAUAUAUCAAUUCUAUCAUUAAUUUAUAUUGAAACUAUCAACUAUAGACAACAAUAAUCUCUGUCAGUCUCAAUCUUUUCUUAGUAUGUCGUUAGGCAAAACAAGCUCUUCAUCUAAUCUCUAACUAUUAAAUAAUUUAAAAACAAGCUCUUUAAAUUUAAGAUAAUAGAAGCAUUAAGUAGAGAAAGAUAUUAGGUUGAUUUAGGCAAUAAACACACAAGCUCGGAUUAUUUAACUUAGGUUAUGUUCUCCAAUCGAAAUCACUGAUUCCAACCUACUACUAAUGAUUAAAAUAUCAAGACAAUUAUGGAUCAAGAAUUUUAAUCUAGCAAUAGAAUUUAUUCAAGUUCUAUCUAAUUGGCCACUCAAAUAAGACAAGAAUAAAAUCAUAAACAUUAAUUAUAGAAGAACAUAAACAAUCUCAAUUAAAUAAAUUGAAUGAUAGAAAUAAAAAAAUUUAAUUGCAUAGCAUAUUUAGGGUUUUGAAUUCACCCUCAACCAAAUAAAAAAUCUAUUCUAACAUAAUUAAAUUGAGAAUAAAAGAGUUAAUAAAACUAGACAUAGAGACUAAUUCAAACGGCUGUCUCCUCUAUUUUUUCUCUUCUCCUUUGCGGCUGCAAAUUGUUUUUGUAUGUGUGGCUGCCGAUCCUCCAAUUCUCCUCUAAUUCUGCCGCAAGUCUAGCUUUUAUGGUAGCUUUUAUUGUGCGCCUUAAAUCCUCACAUGGAAAGGAUUAAAAACAAAAGCCAAGCCGCCACUUUUUGUUCAUGCAUGCACAUAACUUGUACAAUUAAUUGGCCAAUGAAUAUUGUUAAAGCCAAAGCCCAUCACGUGCUUGCCAUUUAAAGCCAUGCCAAAAUAUUUGCUUCCUCAAUUAAUCACAAUAUAUGUUUCCCACGUGAUUGCAUGCAUGUUGAUUAAUCAAAUUAAAUCUUUCUUUCCUGAUCUCUUGUGCACUUUUGUCUCUCAAUCUUCAAUUCUUUUCCUAUUUUUAUUCUUUCAAUGAAAUUUCUUUCCUGAAUGCUCUGAUUUAAUUUCUCUUUAAUCCCAAAAUAUAUCUAAAAUAAUAAAAUAAAAAAACUAAGAUAAAAAUUAACACAAUAAAAUAUAAUUUUAACAAAAUAACUAAAUUAAAAAUUAACUGAAAUAACUAGAAUAUUUAAGAUCAAAACAAGAAAAAGAUGGAGAAAUUAAUAGCAAAAUAUAUGAAAAAUAUGCACUUAUCAGAAGACUAAGAGUGCGUUUGGGAGUGAGGUACUGAAACUUUUAAACUGCAGCUACUGUGAAGUAAAAGCUAUAGAUGUGGAGUAGAAGCUGAUGAUAUUUGAUAAAGAUGCUGUAACUUUUAAGCUGCAGAAGCUGAUAGUGUUUGGUAAAUAUAUGUGUCUAGUAUUUUCAAUUUUAAUUUCACAAUUUUUAUAUAUAUAUAAUUUUAUAAAAAUCUCGGGACCCAUAUUAUUCAGUUAAGACACUGUGAGACAAUUUUGAAUUUAAUAAGAAACAAAUAGUUUUGAAAAUGUUUUUGGUAUUGGAUCCUCCUAAAAAUUUUAUUGGAGAUACCCAUGGAUGUCGAGAAUAGAUCUAUGUAAUUUUGUGUCAUUUUGAUUAUUAGAUUAAGAGUUAAAAUUCAGAGAAUCAGACUUCUACGGGUAUGAAUUAGAAAAUUAAGUUCUUGGAAUAAGUUAUUAAUAGUUAUUUCUUGUAUUUGUUUAAAGUAUUGGAGGUGUUUGAGACUGUUAGAGGCUUAGAGGUGUGUUUAAAUCAUUGCUUUUAUCAAGAUAAGUAACUCUAUUCCUAAUGUACUUGAUAUCUAAUGUACUAGAUAUAUAUGAUAAUUUUGAUAUUUCAAUAUUAUUACAAGUACGUGUGUUUUCUUAGUUCUUCAUAACAAAAAUAAUUGAUGUGAGUGUUUUUAAAUUUGAAAAUUAUGCCAUUUUUAUGGUUUUAACAAAAUAUUAUAAAUGCCUUUAAAUGUGCAAUUUAUUUUGCUAGAUAAUUAUAUUUUUGAAAUUAUCUAUAAAAUGUUAGAAUGGAAAUUGUUCUGCAAGCCUAAAUCAUUGUUAUGAUCAUUUAUGAAUCUAAUAUGAAUAUUAUGUUCACGUAUUCGAUUUAAAUUAUCUAUGAAAAUUUAUGCGGGAGCCACCUUUUGAGACUGUAUGGGGGCCAUAUCUCGAGGACUAAAGUGCCACGUACAUUAUAAAGUACCACGUGUAAUUUGCUACAAAGGAAAAAUAAAUUUAAAUAAUUUGGUUCAUUGUCCGUAGUCAUUUUGAUUCCGUUAUAUACUUACACACACACACAAACACAGAGUAUUGAGUUUCUAUUCAGAUUGUGUCUAUGAUAUUCUGAUUCUCAUUCUAUUCCAGCCUGGUCAUCGAGAGUAUAAGUGACACUAUGUGACAUGAGCUAAUCUUUUGUGUCCUGUAUUUAUAUAUUAUAUGAUUUCUUUCUAUGAUUAAUUAUGAUUUCGAUAUUCUGGAUCAUUUAUGAAUUUGUCCUUAUGUUAUUAUAUCUCAUUGUAAAAUUUAUGUUUUUUUAUUGUGAUAUAUAUAUUGGUAAACAAGGCUUGCAAUACUUUUGGUAUCGGAUGUCCCUGGGGUGUUGGGAAUGGUUUUACUUGCCGAAUUGAUAGCUCACUUCUCGUCAUUACUUUUUGCAGAUUGAGUGACUUGUUGAGAGAUGUGCUUAUCUUUGGAGUUAGAGAUUAAUUUACUUUUGCUAGUUGAAUAAAAGAAGGACGAAUUUCUAUUUCUUUUAAGCUUGUUAGUCUUCUCAACUUGUAAUUGGAGAAUUUCUAUUUCCUUCUUGGCAAGUUGUGUUCUCUCAAGACUCGCAGCUCCGCCAAAUUCUGGCGUGAAGGCUUAUCACCUUCCUCUUUAAUGCAGGUUUGCAGCCCACAUCAGUCGCCAGUUGGAGUCAAAUUAAUGAAAAAUUUAGGGUCGUGUAAUUAGUCUUGUGGUGAUUUAAUAAGAAUGCAGUGAAGAAUUAAGAGAUAUUCAAGUGCCUGCAAUUGUGUUGGUUUCCCAAAUCCCAACCAAUCCAACAUUUCAGGAAGGCUUUUCGUUUAAAUUAAUAGCACAACGUGCCAGAGGGAUAGUCCAAAUUCUUGUUGCGUUCUCUCAACUCUCAAUUCUCAUGAUAUUAGUUAUAGCUUCGUAAAGAACAUUUGGCAACCUCAGAUGGAGGAAUCUGAAACAGAGAUGGCGUCAUUGCCCUAUGAUUGAGGCUUGAAUUAACUCUUUCCCAGCAUGUUUCUUUGAUUCAUGAGGAUAUACAUUCUCUUUUUUUUUCAUAAUACAUUAAUUAAAAGUAUACAAAUGGAAGAAGGAAGCAAGUAAAGUAAAUCAAACAUUGAACAUGACAAGGUACAAGAAGCAGGCGAGUCUCAGGUAUCAAGCUUUCCUAGGCGACAACCAAGUUCAACAAAGCAAAGGUGAAGCAAGGCAAACAAGAAUUCAAGCCGCACGUCAUAGAUCACGAAAGUGAAGACUCACCAAGCUUCAACACAGUGAACAAAUCAAGGCUGCUUAUUCUGUAUUUGAUGGCUCUCUCUGUGAUUUUUUUAUUCUGCUUUCAUUUAAUUAUUUUGUUAAUUCCUUUGUUUCUUGAUUAAAUAUCAAACAGUUAAGUGAGGUCCUGGAGGAUCAUGAUCGGUCAUCUAACACUCUCAAACACGAGUUCUUGAUCUAACUUCCACAAACCUGCGAAGUAUUUUGACUUUAGUUAGCAAAUGAAAACAAGGGUUUUAACAUCAAAGGAAAUGGUACCAAGGAAGAUGGCCAAUUCGGGAAUUAAGAUCACAAAGCAAGCAGAGGAGCUCUGUCGUUGGUCCCUGCAGUAUGCAAGUGAUUUUGAUCCUAAUCUCUCAACUUCACAUCUAUUAUUGCUGGCCUAUCUUCUUCCGACACAGAGAGACAUUUCAAGGCAAGUUCUACAAGAAUUUGCAAUUGCUUCGAUUUUCCUUGACCCGGUUGAAUUCCAACGACAAUGGGGUCUAUUAUCUCAACAAACCUAUUAUUAUCAAUAUGUUUCUUGACCCAAUCCUUAAAUAAAGUUUCAUCAAGACAACAUUGAAAAUCAUAUAUCUUCUUGCCAGUCAAAAGCUCAAGCAGCAAGGCAGCAAAGCUAUUAUUUUUCUCUGAAUGCUCCAUGAGAAUGGUAUUUAUGUUAUGAUUCAACCUAAACCUGAUAAGAUAUUGUCUGUUUUAAGCCUUAACAAGGCCACAUGGUUUUGUUUCAAGGACACCAAUACAUCCCGAAACUCAUCUUAUCAAUAAAAGUGUGGAUUACCUCUUAUAAACUCAACAUCUCUCUCGUACUUCGUCAAUGUGAGAUUUGCCUAGGCUGUUACAAUUUAAGUGCCAUAAAUCCAAAUUUGGCGAUUGUGUGAAGUACUCUUAUGCGUAUUUUAACAUCGGAAACAAAAAUUGGUGACAAGGAGGUAUUACAUGCAUUAUCAUUAAAUUAAUAUACGCACUAAUCUCAAAGUAUGUGUUAUAUACAUGUUCUUAAUGUGGCUCACAUUCAUGAGUUUGAGAUGAAUUAAGACUCAUGAGUUUGAGAUGAAUUAAGACUACUCACAUUUUUUUGAUUAGAUAAUGAUAAAGAGUAGUUGCUCCAUAUUUCUAAAAAAUUAAGAUGAGGAUAAUUUCUCAUUUUCUUGAUGGAGGGAAGUGAAUGAAGUCCAUUAAAUAGACUAAGGGUCCUUAGCCUAACCUAGAUACGACUUUCCAUGAGAAUUACCAAUUGAAUUAAAGGCUAUAUAGAGGAAUAGACUAGAAAAUUCUAACCAUUUUUUAAAUUAACUUAAAUAAUAAUGACUGGAGGUAGAGGUACGUAAUUUAUUUAAGUUUAUAAUCUAAACUAUAUUUGGAAAAAUACUCUUUUCAUCUCUAAGGUUUGAUGCAAUAGCCUGUUUCAUCCUUACUAUUUAAAUAAUAUCCUAUUUCAUUCCUAUUUUUUAAGCAAUAGCCUGAAACACCCUUUCAUUAGCUUAUUCUUAACUUAACUUCAACAUGGUCGAAAUAAAUAAAUAAAUGAUCAAUUAGUAUUGUUAUUCUACCAAACGUAAUUACAGACUCCUUUGUUUACUUAAAAAAAAUACACACUAAAUACAUAACAAAAUACAUUUAAAAAUAUUGCAGAAUAAAAUAUAUAAUGCAUUGGAAUUUUUUUUUUUAUCUUUUAGCUUAUUCUUGACCUUAAUAAAAACAAUGAUUCUUGAUGAAAAUUAUUAUUAUUAUUAUUAUUAUUAUUAUUUUGUUGACUUUUAUUAAAAAAAAGAAUUUAAUGAACACACAUAUAUGUGUGUGUGUGUGUGUGUGUGUGUGUGUGUGUGUUGCAUAUUCUUUAGUUUCAUUAAGUUAUACUUAAAUUUUAAAUUUUAAAUUUAUGCAAAAAAGUCAAAUGUUAUUCAAUUAUUCUUGAGAUAUUUAUUUUAAAAAGCUUUAUAUAUUUAUUUAACUAAAAAUCCUAUUUUGCUCUCAAUGAAUUAUAGAGUAAACUAUUAUAAAUUCACGGAAGGGUAUUUUGAGCUAUUAUUUGAAAAAUAAGGAUGAAACGAGUUAUUUUUUAAAAAAUAAGGAUGAAAUGGGCUAUUGUACUAAACCCUAUAAAUGAAAAGAGCCUUUUCCCAAUAUAUUUCUAUAUAUAUUAUUAAUAUUAUUAUUAAGCUAACACAAGGAUGAUGUAAAGCAUAUGUACGUGCCUCUAGACAGCAAAUUCAGAGAAGCAUUAUUGCAAAGUCAACAGUUAACCGUUCAAAGUCAGCGGGACAAUUACGUUUGGCCCUUGCUUGGAAAUUUCUAAUUUCAAUGGCAGCAAAGUCAGGGGAAAAUUAAUUGUUCAAAAUCAAUAUACAAACAUGGUGGCCCUUGCUAAGAAGAUAACAUGCACGAUAAGGAUAAACAAUUACCCUAAUCUUUCUUUUGUGGACGUGUUAAUAAAAUAAAGACAGAUUGUGAAAGAGGACGUAUCUACAGAUGGCCGAUUCAGAACUUAAUUAAGAUCAUUCGUUAUAUUUAUUUUUAAUUGAGACAGAGCCUCUCAUGUUGGCGUUAAUAUGUUAGAUAAGUAUGAAUCUGAUGCAUAAUAGUACUUUUGCAAUUUUGUUUAAUUAAUUCUUAAGUUGAAAUAUAAAACAAGUCUUCCCCAAUCAACCACGAAGAAUUAAUACGCAUUUACUUUUUUAAUCGGAAAUUUAAAAUUAGUCCGAAUUUGGUUGAAGUGUUAAUUGAUGGUUUGAAUACAAAUGUCUAUAUAUGAUUUGUUUUUUUUAAUAUCUAAAUAUAAUUGACAUUACAUUUGUUUUUAUAAAUAAAAAAAAUCUUAAAUACAGUUAUUUAACAUUUAUAUCCUUGUAAGUUAAAAUGAAUAAAGGGCUUAAGUUUUAUAGUUUAGCAAAUAAGUAUAUUUAAUAGAGAUGUUUUGAGAUAUAAUAUUUACUUCUUCGUGCCUUUUCUUAUUUAUAUAAAAGUCAUAAAAGUUUACUCUUUUUUUUAAAUUCAAAUGUAAAUGUUUAAAAAUCAUAUAUAAAUUAAAAAAACAAACGAGCAAUUUUAAAAAAAUUUGAAAUAAAAAAAAUUCAAAUUUUAGACUUUUAACCAAUAAGCCUCCAUUUCACCUUGGUAAAGAGAGUAGUUGGCUACCAUGAAAUUUCUGAUCCCUGUCCAGUAUGGGCGUGUCAUGAAUUAAGCCAAGCAUUUUAAUUUUUGCCUUAAAAAAAUUUCCAUUCUCUGCUCUAGAAAAUUGAAAAAAAAAAAAAAGUAAAACAUAGUUCACGUUGGUAUUAUUAUUAUAGUAGCAUCAUAAACAUCUCAAUCGUAAACCAACACCAGUUUUAUUUUGUGUGUUUACCAUUUUUCCACGGCAAUGUUACAUGGAUGUUGAUUGUACGACUUUCUUUAUCCAUGCCUUGCAUUGUUGUGUGUUUGGGAUUCGUCGGAGACUUUUCUUGGCAUUAAUCAUCUCUCAAAUUUUCAUAUCCUAACACAUAAUCAACGCCCGGACUGAAGACUUUUCUUGGCUUCAAUAAUUGAUGCAGAUUAUACACAACAGUAUAAAUUGGCAUGGAGUCCAGGAGUUUCGAUAUAACAAUAUAUCCUCAAAGCUAAUGAUAAUUAUAAUGUCAUCCAAAUUGUUCCUUCUAUUUGAAAAUAUAGCUCUGUUUUCUGUGUUGUUUUUUCAAUUGAAGCCCACAAUUGCUGAUUCUAACAAAAAAACGAUAAAGUGCAUUGAUGAGGAGAGAGAAGCGCUUCGCACUUUUAAACAGAGCUUGGUGGAUGAACAUGGCGUUCUGUCUUCCUGGGGAAGACAAGAUGACAAAAUUGACUGCUGUAAAUGGAGAGGAGUCCGCUGUAGCAACACAACAGGCCAUAUCAAGGUGCUUAAUCUUCGAACAUCCGACAAGGAAAACGCUCAGAGGAAGGUCUUGAAAGGUACAAUUAGUCCUGCUUUGCUUGAAUUGCAUGAUAUAAGACAUUUGGACCUUAGUAACAAUCACUUCAGUGCAAGCCCAGUUCCUAAGUUCCUUGGUUCGCUCAGCAAAUUGAGGUACCUCAAUCUCUCUUGUGGCACACCUUCAGAAUUCCCUCGUAAAUUGCGGGACCUUUCAGGAUUGGAAUAUCUCAACCUAGAAAACUCUAGUUUAUUUAGUGUGGGAAGCUUAGAGUGGCUUCUCGUCUUUAUUCUUUAAGACACCUUGACCUGAGUUACAUUAAUCUCACUAAAUCUAGUGAUUGGUUUCAAGUAGUUGCCAAGCUUCAUUCCCUAAAAACAUUAGUCCUACGCUCGUGUGCUCUUCCACCUAUCAAUCCAUCGUUUAUUUGGCACUUCAAUUUGAGUACGUCUAUUGAGAACCUUGAUCUUUCUGACAACAAUCUCCCUUCUUCUUCAGUAUACCCUUGGCUUUUCAAUCUUAGUAGGAAUAUUCUUUAUCUUGACCUUGGCUCUAAUUCAUUACGAGGUUCAAUUCCAGAGGCUUUUCAACACAUGGUUUCUCUUAAAAGUCUUGAUCUCUCUGAUAGUGAACUUGAAGGUGGGAUUCCAAAAUUCUUUGGAAACAUGUGUAGCUUACAAAAGUUAGACUUGCCUCAAAACAAACUCAGUGGACAAUUCUCGCAGGUAAUUCAAAAUCUGUCUGGUGGAUGCGUGGUGAAUUCACUAGAGCGGCUAUAUUUAAGUUAUAAUGACUUCACGGGGCCAGUACCUCAUCUUGGAGGAUUUUCAUCACUGGAAGCAUUGAUGCUUGGCGUUAAUCGUUUAAAUGGAACAAUAGACAAAAGCCUCAACCAGUUGUCGAAGCUCGAGUCUCUGUCACUACGUAUGAAUUCUUUCACAGGUGUUAUCUCUGAAACUUUUUUUUCCAAUAUGUCCAACUUGCAGAUGUUAGACUUGAAAGAGAACUCUUUGACUUUGAAAUUGAGCCAUGAUUGGGUUCCUCCUUUUCAACUGAAAUGGUUAAGUCUUGCCUCUUGCAAGAUGGGACCUCAUUUUCCAAAAUGGCUUCAAACUCAGAAUCAGCUUGUACUUCUUGACAUCUCCAAUGUUGGAAUCUCAGACAGUAUUCCUGAUUGGUUCUGGGAUUUGUCCAGUGAACUCUCUUACUUAAAUCUCUCUAACAAUCAUAUCAAGGGUAAACUUCCUGAUUUGUCUUUAAGGUUUGAUGGUACUCGUAGUGGUGGUACUAGUAUAGACAUCAAUUCAAACCACUUUGAGGGCCCAAUUCCACCACUUCCUUCAAAUUUGCUGUUCUUAAAUCUCUCUAAAAAUAAGUUCUCAGGAUCAGUUUCUUUCUUAUGUUCUAUUAGUGAAAACACUUGGAACUUUUUAGAUCUCUCGAGUAACUUAUUGUCUGGAGGGCUUCCCGAUUGUUGGUUGCACUUUGAUAGCCUAUUCGUUCUUAACUUGGCAAAUAAUAGAUUCUCAGGACAAAUACCGGAUUCGAUGGGUUUCCUAAAUAACAUUCGGACACUGAAUUUACACAACAAUAGGUUAGCCGGGGAAUUGCCUUCAUCUUUAAGGAAUUGCUCCCAACUGAGAGUUUUGGAUCUCGGGAAGAACGCAUUUUUUGGUGAGAUACCAACGUGGAUAGGGGAAAGUCUACAAAAUUUGAUUGUUCUUAGCCUAAAAUCUAAUAACUUUCAUGGAAAUAUAGCUUAUCAAUUGUGCCAUCUGGGAUUUAUUCAAGUCUUGGAUCUUUCUUUAAACAUUAUAUCGGGAAAUAUACCAAAGUGUUUCAAUAAUUUUUCAGCCAUGACCUAUGAAAGAUGUUCCAAUCCUACCAUUGGGUUCGCCAAAUCUUUCUUAGUUCUCCCUGGAAUUGGAUAUUACUAUAAAUAUUUGGUCAAUUUACUGUUGACUUGGAAAGGAAGUGAAAAUGAGUACAAAAGUACUUUGGGACUUGUAAGGUGCCUUGACCUUUCGAGUAACAAAUUAGAUGGAGCAAUUCCUGAAGAGAUUAUGGAUCUUGUGGGGUUGAUUGCCUUAAACCUUUCAAGAAACAAUUUAACCGGACCAAUCACUCCGAAGAUUGGUGAGUUAACAUCAUUGGAUUUCCUGGAUUUGUCUAGAAAUCUGUUUUCUGGAAGUAUUCCAUCUAGCCUCUCUCAGUUAAGUGGUCUUGGCGUCUUGGACUUGUCGUACAACAACUUGUCAGGAAAAAUCCCAUUAGGCACUCAGCUCCAGAGCUUCAAUGCUUCAGUGUACGCUGGAAAUCUUGAACUUUGUGGCCUUCCACUCGCAAAUAAGUGUCCGAAUGAAGAAUCCACUCCAUGUCCAGGCAGAAAUGAUGGUGCAAACACUCUUGAGGAUGAGGAUGAUCAGUUUAUGACUCUUGGAUUUUACGUGAGCUUGAUUCUUGGUUUCUUUGUUGGAUUCUGGGGAGUCUGCGGAACUUUAAUGCUGAAUAGGUCGUGGAGACAUGGUUACUUCAACUUCCUGACUAGUAUGAAAGAUUGGGUCUAUGUGACAGCAGCUGUGAAUAUUGCCAAACUGCAAAGAAAGUUUAGGAACUAACUAAACGGUAAUACUCCUUAACAUUGGGUUUCAGUCAUUGUUGUCAGCUCACGUGCUUUUAAUUUCUUCAUCCUUAAAUUUUACUUUUUUCUCUUACAAGCUUUUGUUCCGCUAACUAAUUGCUCAUCUUCUUUUUUUUUUUUGUCAUUCACCGUCUUUUUGGCAGGGUAUCUCUGGGAUGGCAUCUUGCCCUUAUUACCUCAUAUUAAUCCAUUACAGCAAUAAAGGCAGUCAAAUUCUGCUCUGCUAUUGAUCAAUGUUUGCUCUUUUUUCCUUUUCAUUGGGUGAAUAAAUAAUAAAAGACAAAUCGAAUCUUUCUAUUUAAAGAGUUGUUGACUACUAAAACUACUAAAUGGAUGAUAAAAUUAAUUAAACUAGAAUAAUCUUAUUGACAAAGUAGGUGGUAGGUUCGUACGAUUCCGGAUCAUUGGUACUAAAAUGUGAAGGAAGAGAUCGAACUUUACAAGAAUUUGUUCUUACUGUAUUCGAACUGGUAAUUGAUUAAAUUUGAUUAAAUUUCUAUGAUGGUGACAUAUAAUGACUUAAAUAUUAUUUUCAGAGAAUAUCACACACGACUUUUCUAUCCUAAUUUUUAUCAAUUUUCCGAACGUAUCAUCACAUACCAUCACGUUCAAGACCCAGCCGACUCUAUAACUAAGGUGUUACUAACGCACAUUAAUAUUACAUCGCAUUUUCACUGCCAUGGCCAAUUUCAGUGUUUCUCAUCAUUACUCUCUAUUUUGGCAAGUAUGGUAGGAAUCUUUAAAACAACGUACAAGAAUCAAGGGGAAGAAAUAAGAAACUGUAAAGAAACAUAUAGUUUGUGAGAGCAUUCAAUUCAGUUCGUGGGGGCAUAAGCUUAAAUAAUUGAUGCAAUUUUAAGCGGUUUUUUUUCCCCCUUGUACAAGGCUAGCUCUGUGUGUGACACGAAAACACGAAAACAUGUAGAGAAAUUGGAUUAUUAAUUUUCAACAGAGAGUAUUAGAAUUUUUUGCAGCGUCAAGAUCAGAACCAAACUAGAUGACAGAUACAAUAAGGCAAGUGGUGAAGAAAUAGCACGAAGACAAUCAGAAAAAGAAAAUUUAAAUUUGACGAGCUCUAGAUGCUUAACCUAAAAAUAACUGAGAUAUUGCAGGUUUCUAUAAUAGGAAAGAUGACACAGAAAAAGCAUGGAAAAGCUCACAGCUCUGUUGAAAACCGAAAAUCCAGCAUUGGCUUGCAGCCACGCUCUGUCUCGUCCUGAAAUCAGACUGAAUUCUGGGUAUGUGUAAAACAGGACAGCAGCCUCAUCCAAUUAUGUUCACCUAUAAACAUUAUGAAGUCAUGACGUUUUUGUCUAUAAAUGAGAAAAAUAAAGUACUAUUGAUCUUUUGAGGAACAUAAUGAUAAUUCGAAAUGAAAAAUAGAUACGAACAAAUGCAUGUGCUAUGCGUAUUUAAAAAGGAGAUUCCCAUUAUAGACAUGCUCUUUAAGAGUUAAGAGACAUAAAGUACAUGGCAAUUGUAUGGUUCCCUUGGGCAUCCCAGUCAACCCAAAAUGGGAUUUUGGCAGGAUCAGGCACUAGAUUCCACCACAUUCCUCCCUUUUUUGCAAAAUAUCCGAGAUAGAUUAUCCAUAUUCUUUUUUUUUUAGCCCUCCACUCUAUACUCUUCUACUAUAAGUUAUCUACAUUUAAAUUUCUUAGUUUUGAUUGCAGCUCAUCGAAUCUGUCUUUUGUCUGUCAUAUAGCAGAUACAGAGACAGCUCUUGAUGAGCUUAAUUUGUUUGCCCAGUGCACUCUUGAUUAACAUUGAACCAAAACUGAAUUGAAAGAAUUAAGAAAAAGGAAAGAAAUAAAUAGUUUGAAGAUAUGAAAAAUUGUUUCUUUUUCUUUGUCCUAUUUUGAUGACAUGAAGACUUAAAAACAUAGUUAGAGAUUUUUUUUUUUUAAUAAUGAUUGAUCCUGCAAACGGAAUAAACUUCAAUAAAAAUAAUAGAGAUGUCGCCAAACAAUAUUUAGAGCGACAUAGUAAACAGAAGCAUAAAGCUAAAACACACAACAUAACUACAAAAAAUUAAAAUAAAUAAGCUGCAUCUGUAUAGAAUUUGUAGCUUGGAAGUUCAUUAAUGUUUUCAUUACUCGAUAGAAGAAGUAAAGCCAAACUAGUCAUCGAAAAAUUUUGGGUACUCCUGGAACAUUACUCCUUUUCCAUUUAUUGCUUGUCAUGUGUAUGAUUCAACGAAUCGUGAUAAUAUAUAUACAUACAUGGCAAGCAUUAAAUUAUUAAGGAGCAAUACUCCAGAAGCACCAAAAACCCAUCAUGUUAUGAGCGCCAUUUGACUACGAAAAGGUACAUAGUAAUAAAUAAUAAAAGAAUAAAAUACCAUUUUCAGAGAAGACUAUUGACUUGAAUGAAGACUCUGUAAUAUCAUUGAAUAAUACACAAGACAUUUCUAUCCUAAUUUUUAUCAAUUUUACGAACGUAUCAUCACAUACCAUCACAUUGCAUUGCAUUGCAUUACAUUAAAGACCCAGCUGACUCUAGCUAACGUGUUACUAACGCACAUUGCAUUGCAUUUUCACUGCCAUGCCCAAUUUCAGCAUUUCUCACCAUUACUCUGUGUUUAGGUAAGUUUGGUAGGAAUCUUCAAUACAAUGUAAAAGAAUCAAGGGAAGAAAUAAGAAACUAUAAAGGAAUAUUAAGUGGAAAAUUUAGUUUGUGAGAGCAUUUCAAUUCAGUUUAUGGGGGCAUAAGCUUAAAUGAUGGGUGUAAUUUUAAGAGUCUUUUCUCUUAAUCAACCAGCGUGAAUAAUAUUGCCAAAUUGUUAAUACUUAUAGUUUACCAAACAUGUGCCUGACUACAAUUUUGUCUAAUUGAUUAUUUCAAAGGAUGGAGCUAGUAUUAGGCAAGCGGGGGCAGUUGCUCUGGCUUGAUUAAAACAGCCGAUAAAUUGCAUUCAUUAUUUAAGUCUCUAUCCACGUGAACCUAAAAAUUCUAUCAAAAAAACUUCUAUUUGUUUAACGAUAAUUUAAAAAGACUACCAAGAAAUUUCUUUUCCAAAGGCAUAUUUACCUGAACGAAGACUUGUUGAGAAGGACAAAGUUUAGCUACUCCAAUGCAGAAUAUAAACCACAAGAGGCUAGACUUAACAAUAUAUCCUCAAUACCAAUGAUAAUUACAACAUCAUUUUCAGAGACCUUGUUAACUUACAUUAUAAGGUAACUUAACACCACCUCAUUUUCUGAGAAGACUAUUGACUUGAAUGAAGAAUCUGUUGUUGACUCAUGACAAAUCUCAAUCUUUCUUGUGCAUGCAUUACCACCUUAGUAAUUCAAUUUCAACCCUCUGAUUGUUUUGCCUACUGACAAGUUGCAGUAUUUUGAAUUACAAGUCUCCCGUCAUCACUUCCCCAUUCAGACAUUUGAUCGAACACCAAGCUGAAUUCUUCAAACACACUGCUAAUCUUAACUCUUAAAAUUUUCUGAUUGAAUUUAAAUGACAGUAAAUUUUUCAUUGUAGUUAAUUACAAGUUACUAAUUAAGUAUUUCUAUAUUAGUUAAUUGUAUGAAAAUAAUCGAUGAACUUAUCCUCCUCUGGAAUUAUGAAUCUAGAUUGUACUCUUAUAGGUAUUGGAAAUAAUCAAAAGCCACAGAGCAAGAAGAAAGUCAUUGAAGCCCUUGGAUUGGAUGGCUGCUAUUGCAUAUUAAGCUCCUGCUGCAGCAGCUAGUGCUAUUUUUUAAAUCUACUCAAUUGGUCAAGAAAGUUUUUUGGAUGCUUCUAAAAAUAUUUAUAUGUAUAGUAUCUUUGACUUAAGAUUGUACUCCAAGCUGAGAACCAAGACACAGUUAAACAAAAAGGUUUUCUUUUUGUGUUAGUAUUUAUAAAUUCAAACCUUGACACACUAGACUAAAUCUCUAACUUUCAUACAAACUACAAAAGAUAAGUCCAUGCAAUUGCAUCACACAAUCCAAAAGUAUGUCAUCACUAAAACCUGUAGAGAAAUUGGGUUAUUAAUUUUCAACAGAGAGCGUCUGAAUUUUUGCAGUUUUUGUAGCAUCGAGAUCAGAACCAAACUAGAUAACAAAUAUGCAAUAGGCAAGUGGUGAAGAAAUAGAGCGAAGACACCAAGAAAAGGCAAGUUUAAGUUGCAGAUGCUCAACUGUAAAAUAACAGAGAUAUUGCAGGUUCAUAUAAUAGGAAAGAUGGCACAGAAGAAGCAUGGACAAACUCACAGCUCUUUUGAAAGCCAAAACUCCAGCAUUGGCUUACAGCCACACUCAGUCUCGUCCUGAAAUCAGACUCAAUUUUGAUGACAUGAAGCCUUAUAAACAUAGUUAGAGAACAUUAAACUUUGUUCAUAUUGAAAAAUGGUUAACUCUUCCAUUUCUUGUCCACAUAAACCUUAAAGGCAGACACAAGGUCGCUUCUAGAACCUUUGACAGCGGCCACUAAACUAAGAUGAUUCAAAACAAAAAUAUCAUAUUCACAAAAAUAAGAUAUACAGGAACAGGGAACUCUUACGUUCUAUUGAUCAAACACCAUCUAUUCUACCUGAUUACAUUCUCAAGAGGAAUUGAAAAAAUGCUUCGGAUAGGAAAGUUUGUUGGAUGCAUGCAAGUUUAUUUGCCACAGAGCUUCCAUUAUGGAGCAGUCUUCUUUCAAUAUCUUAGGCCAUGCAAAAGGGACAUAACAUGUUAAUACAAGUUGGACAAAAAGCAUGUGGUUCUUAUAAAUGUGAUAUGUGAAUAAUGUGCGACCAAAACAAGUACAUCAAUGUAGUUCUGAGUUCUUUACAGUCAUAACCUGAAGUCUUUCGGGAUCAUCUCCGAUACUCUAUAUCUUAAGUUAACUUAUACCACCGAGGUAGAUACAAAUAAAGCAAUGAAAUAACUUUUACAACAACCUUCUCUGAUUCAAGUUUGUACCCACUAAUCCUUUAAAUUAUGGUCUUUCUUUUUCUUGAUUACUCUUAAGUAUCUCACAAUCAUCUUAUCCAAGAAUUGUCGUAGGUAGUGACCAAAACCUUACUUUGGGCUGGCUUUACUGCUUUCAGAUUUUUAGCUCCCAUAUCAUUAACUGACAACACUAAUUUUGAUGAAUUACAAGGAAGCCAUUUGGACUUCAUGCUCUCGCUCUCAAAGAGGCAAAGGUCCCAAUUCUCAAAUUCCAAAUAGUUAGGCACACCAGAAAACCCAAUUAUGUUUGCAUUGCCUCAUGGAUGUCAGGCGAACCCAAAUUCUAAAUAACUGCAAAUGAAUUUGAUUUGGGUAUGAGUUAAUUCAACAAUGAAUCAAUACAAUACAGUAGUAAAAUAUUUCAUUUAUGAAUGAAACUACAGGAUUUUCAUAACGUUUAAAAAUAAUAGUAUGAUAGGAUCCAACCAACAUAAACAAGUGGCUAACCUGUUAUGAAUCUCUCACAAAAACGUGGAGCUCUUAUAAGUAUUUCAAGAUGUUUUCUCCAUCAGUUUAUUGGCGGCAGAAUGCUUGACUUGGCUCUGCCAUACACCCGUCCAUGACCUUUUCCUACAGUAUGAAUGGACUUCUCCAAAUGGAACAUGAUGUCCGGCUCACACUACAUAUUAAGUAAUUAAACAAGAAACUGUAUCAACUUUCUUGGAAUUGCAAAACAAUGGGGACCCAAAUAAAAAAAAAAUCAACAAGCUCUGUAUUUUUCAAGAUGAGUCUGAAAUUUAUUCAUCUGUAUCAUGAGAGAUCUUACCAAAAUUCCAAAUCCACAGUCCGCGGUUUCAAAUAACAAGUACAUGAAUUCCAAAAUUGCAAGCUCAUUGUGGAACAAGAAAGAAAUAAUGUUAAUCAACCAUUUACUAUUAACCACUGUUGAUAAUCACCACCAAAAAGCAUACCAAAGUAAAAAUGAUAUCAUCACAGCACACACACAGAAGAAACAUUUAUGCAGCAUGUUUCUGUACAAAUACAAAAUUAAGCGAGACCCAGAAAAUAAAGAUCAAAUCGUUAGAAACCCCAUCAAGCAAAAUCAUCAAAAACCACUCAUUGUCAAUGUCAGCCUUACAUGUCACACCACAACAAGAUUUUGAUACUUGACGGUCGCAGCAUUGGCAAGAAUAUCGCAUCUUUGAACCCUAAUUGCAAUCUUGAAACUUCCAACGAUUGGCGUAGACUAAGAUCUCUGAGGCGCAUGUUAGCAACAAGGAAGCACAUUCACUACUGAGAUUGUGUGCCCGUCAUAAAGUCACAGAGCAACCCCAGAAGCAUAUAAUUUUAUCUUGAUUUAGAUUUCAAGCAUCAGAAAAUGAAAGUCACUUCGCUUAUAAUUUUAUCUAGCGAAUUUCUUUUUUCUAAUUUUAAAAUAAAUUAUUGAUAAAACAGGUUUACUAAUUAAUACUUUCAAAUAAAAUAAAAAAUAACGAUUAUAAUCUCAAUUACUUUCACCGCACGUGCGCCUUAAAAAACCACCUGGAAAUUCAAAAUCCAACUACAACGGCAGGCAAACAUCACUCCGGUUAAUCAAGUUGAGGAUGCCACGACGCUAUUUUUCGCUGCCAUAUUUGUCAAUAGCGGUUAGUUGUUGGCUCUUAAAUUUUACACACCAAACUUCAAUAGUGUUGAAAAAUCAAAGAGUUUUGGUUGAAAAAACAAAGUGAGCCACAUGCAUUGCUUUUGUUUUUCAAAGUCAGCACCAAAUUCCAAGCUGUAAAAUAUUUGGCAUUUGACAAUCCUGCACCAAAUGAAGAAAAAUGGAAAAGUUAGCAAAAUUUAUCAAAUUGACAAAUUGCAGAGGAGUUAGGUGGAAUAGUGCAAGCUUGAAGCUUAUAAAUUGAAGUCAUUUCCUCAUUCUAAAUUAUCCUAAAAUUGUUAAGUUUAUAAGUUUCUAAGCUUUUGAGAGAAGUGAGAGAAGUAUGUCUGUAGAAUUUAUCUUUCCUGCAGAGUAUGAGAGUACUGAGUAUAUUUGGGUUUCUGGGAAGUGAGAUUCGUUACUCAAAUAUUAUACUCUAUUAAUUAUUAAAUAAACAAUUAUUCUUUCUUGCCUCCGUGGAUGUAGGUUUAAUUACCGAACCACGUAAUUCUUGUGUCCUUUAUUUUUCUAUAAUUAUUUGGUGCGCUUGAUUCCGCAUUCCGCGCAUAACAAAUAGUUAAUUUUUCCAGAUAAACUUAAUUAUGACGUAACAUAAUAUUCAGUUUCCUAAAUACUAAAUUCAAAUUAGAGACAUCGCUAACGGCUAUAUAAUUCCUACGCGCCCAUCAGAUAGCUAUAUAAGUGCCCCCAACAUAACAGACACCGCCUUAUCGCAACACUACUUGAUUAACAAGCAACUGGGAGAUUUUUCAAAUCCUAAGUUUUUUUUUUAGUUUCCAAAUUCUUCUUCAUUCAUCAACCAAAUCCUACCCACCAAAAAUCUUCUCAAACCCAUCUGAUUCAAUCUUUAGCAGGGUUAUUCAUAGGAAUCAACCGUUUAUUCGCCGACGCAGUAUCAAUCACCAUUGGUUGUUCUUACCAUUUUUCCACGGCAAGGUUACAUGGAUGUUGAUUGUACGACUUUCUUUAUCCAUGCUUUGCAUUGCCGUGUGUUUGGGAUUCCCUGGUGACUUUUGUUGGCUUUAAUCCCGUGUGUUUGGGAUUCGCUGGUGACUUUUGUUGGCUUUAAUCAUCUCUCAAAUUGUCAUAUCCUAACCCAUAAGCAACGCUCAGAUUGAAGACUUUUCUUGGCUUCAAUAGUUGAUGCAGAUUAUACAAAGUAUAAAUUGGCAUGGAGUCCAGGAUUUUCGAUAUAACAACAUAUCCUCAAAGCUAAUGAUAAUUAUAAUGUCAUCCAAAUUGUUCCUUCUAUUUGAAAAUAUAGCUUUGUUUUCUGUGAUAUUUUUCCAAUUGAAGCCCACAAUUGCUGAUUCUAACAACAUAAUAAUAAGGUGCAUUGAUGAGGAGAGAGAAGCGCUUCUCACUUUUAAACAGAGCUUGGUGGAUGAACAUGGCGUUCUGUCUUCCUGGGGAAGAGAAGAUGACAAAAGAGAUUGUUGUAAAUGGAGAGGAGUCCAUUGUAGCAACACAACUGGCCAUGUCAAGGUGCUUAAUCUUCGAACAUCCGACGAGGAAAACGCUCAGAGGAAGGUCUUGAAAGGUGAAAUUAGUCCUGCUUUGCUUGAAUUGCAUGAUAUAAGACAUUUGGACCUUAGUAACAAUCACUUCAGUGCAAGCCCAGUUCCUGAGUUCAUUGGUUCCCUCAGCAAAUUGAGGUACCUCAAUCUCUCUUGUAGCAUACCUUUAGAACUCCCUCGAAAAUUCCGGAACCAUUCAGGAUUGGAAUAUCCCAACCUAGAAAACUCUAGUUUAUUUAGUGUGGGAAGCUUAGAGUGGCUUUCUCGUCUUUCUUCUUUAAGACACCUUGACCUGAGUUACAUUAAUCUCACUAAAUCUAGUGACUGGUUUCAAGUAGUUUCCAAGCUCCAUUCCUUAAAAUCAUUAGUCCUAUGCUCGUGUGCUCUUCCACCUGUCAAUCCAUCGUUUAUUUGGCACUUCAAUUUGAGUACGUCUAUUGAGACCCUUGAUCUUUCUGACAACAAUCUCC
rnacentral:lncRNA from 1 species